rnacentral:lncRNA from 1 species
UCAGCUGCCGCCCGAUCUCCAGCCGCCAAAUUGGGCUCCAACAGGCCGAGACCCCGCCUGCACCCGCCACGCCGUCGUCCUCAGCCGCAGCCCCAAGCGAAAUCCGGUGACUUCUAACCUUUGUUAUUUCAUUAUUUCAUUAUUUCGUUAUUUCAUAUUGCAUUUUAGUUCGUUAUCUCAUAUUGCAUAUCGCAUUUUAGUUCGUUAUCUCAUAUUUCAUACUGUGAACAUUGUCUGUUGACUGUUGUUGCUGUUGCGGCGGUCGCUGCUUAGUUUUGCUUCGGGAGUAGUCCCGUCAACGUGUGUGUGCCUUGUAUCUCCUGGCUGCUGCUUGGAUAUUGCCACCGGCUAUAUCCUUUUACUUCCCUAUUUUUUGCGUGUAGUUGUGGCUGUGGGCGGUAAUGGGUGGUUAGGGUCAUGUCCGAGGGGGUUGGGGCGUGGGGCUGUGGCGGGGGCGGGAGAUGGGGGNNNNNNNNNNNNNNNNNNNNNNNNNNNNNNNNNNNNNNNNNNNNNNNNNNNNNNNNNNNNNNNNNNNNNNNNNNNNNNNNNNNNNNNNNNNNNNNNNNNNNNNNNNNNNNNNNNNAGUGGGGGGCGCGUGGAUAGCGACGGUAGGCUGAGGGUUGGGUCUUGGAAUAUAGGGACCCUUCAGGGGAAGUCCAUAGAGCUGGUGAAGAUUCUUAGGAAGAGAAGGAUCAACCUUGCGUGUGUCCAAGAGACCAAGUGGGUAGGGUCUAAGGCUAGGGAUGUGGACGGUUACAAGCUGUGGUACUCUGGGAGCGACAGGCGUAGGAAUGGAGUUGGCAUCUUGGUAGAUGAAGAGCUUAGAGGUCAGGUAGUGGAGGUGAAGAGGAUCAACGAUAGGUUGAUGACUAUCAAGUUGGUCAUUCGGGGGUUUACCCUGAACGUGUGUAGUGCCUAUGCGCCGCAUGUGGGAUCGGAGGGGGAGGAGAAGAUGCGGUUCUGGGAGGCCUUGGAGGACGUGGUGAGAGGCGUGCCCAGUUCGGAGAAGAUUGUGGUAGCAGGGGAUUUCAACGGGCACAUCGGGGCGCUACCGGGAGGCUUUGGGGAUGUGCAUGGAGGUUUUGGUUUUGGGGAGAGAAAUGAAGAGGGGGCGACCCUAUUGGAGUUUGCGAGGGCGUUUGGGCUGGUGGUGGUGAACUCGGGCUUCCCGAAGAAGGACGACCACCUGAUCACUUUUCGGAGCGCGGUAGCCAGGACCCAGAUUGACUUCUUGUUGCUUAGGAAAGGGGAUAGGGCGCUGUGUAAAGAUUGUAAAGUCAUCCCGAGUGAGAACCUUUCGACCCAACAUAGGCUCUUGGUUAUGGAUUUGGGUAUGAAGAAGAAUAAAAAGAGGAGGAGUAAGGAGUGUAGACCGAGAAUUAAGUGGGGCGGUUUGACGCCAGUGAAUGCGUGGGAGAUAGGGGAGAGGUUGGCGGGAAUGGGGGUGUGGGAGUGUAGGGGGGACGUGGAUAAUAUGUGGGACAGGGCGGCAGCGUGCAUCAGGGAAAAUGCAAGGGAGGUGUUGGGUGUUUCUAGGGGCCGGGCCGGACAUCAUCGGGGGGAUUGGUGGUGGAAUGAAGAGGUGGGGAAGAAAGUGGAGACCAAGAAAGAGUCGUAUGCUAAGUUGGUGGAAAGUAAGGACGAAGAGGAGAAGCGGGUAAACAGGAAAGAGUACAAGCUAGCAAGGAAGGAGGCGAAGUCAGCGGUCACGGCAGCUAAGACGGCUGCUUUUGAGAGCUUGUAUGCAGGGUUACAGGGGAAAGGAGGGGAGAAAAAGUUGUUCCGACUCGCUAAGGCUAGGGAGAGGAAGGGUCGUGACCUCGAUCAGGUGCGGUGCAUUAAGGGGGAGGACGGUAGAGUGUUGGUGGAGGACGGCCACAUAAAGAAGAGAUGGCAGUCGUACUUUCAUAGGCUCUUGAAUGACGAGGGGGACAGAGCUAUUGUGUUAGGGGAACUGGAGCACUCAGGGGAGUGUCGGGAUUUUAGCUAUUGUAGACGUUUUAAGGUAGACGAGGUUAGACAGGCAGUCCGCAGGAUGCGAAGGGGUAGGGCGACGGGGCCGGAUGAGAUACCGGUGGAGUUUUGGAAGUUCGUUGGAGAGGCUGGUGUAAGGUGGUUGACUGCAUUGUUCAAUGAAAUUUUCAGGACAGCAAAGAUGCCCGAGGCGUGGAGGUGGAGUACCAUGAUCCCCCUCUAUAAGAAUAAGGGGGACAUUCAGUGUUGCAAUAACUAUAGGGGGAUUAAGUUACUGAGUCACUCUAUGAAGAUCUGGGAGAGAGUGGUCGAGGUGAGGCUGAGACGGAUAGUGUCUAUCUCGGAAAAUCAGUUCGGAUUUAUGCCCGGCCGCUCGACGACGGAGGCAAUUCACCUGGUACGGCGGUUGGUGGAGCAAUAUAGGGAAAGGAAGAAGGAUUUGCACAUGGUGUUCAUCGACCUAGAAAAGGCGUACGACAAAGUCCCCAGGGAGGUGCUUUGGAGAUGCUUGGAGGUGAGUGGAGUACCGCAGGCAUAUAGCAGAGUAAUUAAGGAUAUGUAUGAGGGAGCGAAAACCCAGGUGAGGACGGCGGGAGGAGACUCAGAGCAUUUCACUGUCCUGACAGGAUUGCAUCAGGGAUCUACUCUUAGUCCCUUUUUGUUUGCGCUAGUAAUGGAUGUGUUAACGCGGCGUAUCCAAGGGGAGGUGCCGUGGUGUAUGCUUUUUGCAGACGAUGUAGUCCUGAUAGAUGAGACGCGAGGGGGUGUGAACGACAAAUUAGAGCUGUGGAGGCAAACUCUGGAGUCUAAAGGGUUCAGGGUGAGCAGAACCAAGACAGAGUAUGUGGAAUGUAAGUUUAAUGACGUAAGGCGAGAGAAUGAGGUAGUGGUGAGGCUAGAAGCGCAGGAGGUAAAGAAAAGGGAUAAGUUCAAGUACCUCGGGUCCGUGAUCCAGAGUAACGGUGAGAUUGACGAGGAUGUCUCGCACCGUAUCGGGGCGGGAUGGAUGAAGUGGAAACUUGCAUCGGGGGUGCUGUGUGAUAAGAAGGUGCCGCCCAAGCUUAAAGGUAAAUUCUAUAGGGUGGUAGUCCGUCCGGCCUUGCUGUAUGGAGCGGAGUGUUGGCCAGUUAAGAACUCCCACACCCAAAGAAUGAAGGUGGCAGAAAUGCGGAUGUUGCGCUGGAUGUGUGGACUGACCCGAAGGGAUAGAGCUCGGAAUGAGACUAUCCGGGAGAAGGUUGGUGUGACUUCAGUGGAGUGUAAGAUGCGGGAAGCACGAUUGAGAUGGUUCGGACACGUGAAGAGGAGGGGCAUGGAUGCCCCGGUCCGUAGGUGUGAGAGGCUAGCGUUGGAUGGUUUUAGACGGGGUAGGGGUAGACCGAAGAAGUACUGGGGUGAGGUGAUUAGGCGGGACAUGGAACAGUUACAGCUUACCGAGGACAUGACCCUAGAUAGGAAGGUCUGGAAGACGCGAAUUACGGCAGAGGAUUAGGGCCUGUUCGGGUCGCUAAUGUAGGGAGGUAAUUGGUGGGGGGGUAUUCCUGGUAUGAUUCCGUAUUUCAAUGUUCUGUUCCGUGUUCCGUGUUCUAUGUUUGUUACGAAUCUGUGUGCUUUCCUCUGCUUUAUAUUCCUGCAUCCCUGCUUUACUCUGUUUUAUAUUCCUUAUGGCUGCAGUAUCUAUGUUAUGUCAUCUGCUUCUGUGCUGUACUAUGUGUUUGUUUGAUAUCUCGUAACUUGAGCCGGGGGUCUUUCGGAAACAGCCUUUCUACUUCAUCAGAGGUAGAGGUAUGGACUGCGUACAUCUUACCCCCCCCAGACCCCACAAAGUGGGAAUACACUGGGUUUGUUGUUGUUGUUGUUGAAACUAAACAAAUGAUUUAACAGUGAUGAACAUCUAAUAGGAACACUAUAUUAAGUCCUAAUAGAACUAAUCUUGAAUUGGUGCGAAAAAGGAUGAAAAAAAAAUUGAUUUAGAGUCCCUAUUUUUAUAUGAAAAUUAUGUAUAAGAAUGGACAAGAAAUAAAAUAGAUUGUCACUUUAAACAUCACUUGCCCACUUGACUAAUGAAUUGAUGAAAAAUAUGUAACCCAAAAAAAUAAAAUAAUAUAACAUGUCAAAAAGCAACUAUUGUUGUCACCUACACACAAACAAAUAACUUCACUUAUAUUUUUUGUGCCUCGAAUACUAUUCAUAUUUCAAAAUAUGUUUCAAUACCCACAUGCCCAGAAUCUUUCUGCAUUCUUUAAAUAUAUAUUUUAUAGAGUUUCAACCCUAAUUCAAUUUUUGAUUCACCAUUGUAUGCAAUAGAAAUAUUUGGAUAACAAAAUAUAUAAUAUAAUUCAUGAUAAAAAACCUCAUAUAAUUAAUCAAUAAUCGCACAUACUAAAUAAUGCAUGAAAAUAUUUAGAUAAUUUUAUUCAUGCUUUGAUUCAUAUUAAAAACUUACAAACUAAUAAUAUGAAACUGAACAAGAAUCUGUAUGACAAACCAAAUCGAGUAUAGAAGCUAGAACGCAAUCAUCGAAAAACUCGAACGAAAACCUCACGAAUUCAACCUUUUUACUGUCUAUUUUUCUCGUUUUCCUUCUUAUCUUUUCUUUCCUGCCUUUUUUCGAAUUUUUUUCUUUGCUUUUUGCUUUUCAAAAUGUUGUUCUCUUAAUCUGCGUCUUUGUCUUGUUUUUGUUUUCUCCGAAUUUCUCUCAAAUUUCUCACUUACUCUUUUUAUUUCUUCCUCUUUUUUUUAGUUUUCUUUUUUUUUUUUUGGUCCCUUUGAUCUCCCCUGUGUGUGUAUUAUAUGUAUAGUGCAUGUGUGUGCGUGUGUUGUGUUUGGACGUGGGAAAGUUGAGAAAAAUAUGUGAGUGGUUUUAGGUUAUUGGGGAAAGGAUGGUUUUAGGGUAGUGGGUAGAUUAGGAUAGGUUUUUCUCCUUUUUUUUUUUUAAUUAAUAUUUUAAAUAAAAUAAAAAUGAUAAAAUCUAUUUAGAACUAACAAAAUACAAAACAAGUUAAUAACUAGUCUUAGAAAUAUGAUUAAGAAAUAUUAAUAUCACUAGAUUCUUUAUUAAAAGUUAAAAGAAGAAAACAAAUAUAAUUUAGAAAAUUUUCUUUUUCCCUAAAAGCAAAUAAAUAAAUAACCAAUAAAAUAAAAAAUUAUUUAAAAAUGUGACUCUAUUUUUUAUAUAGUUUUCAAAACUUUUAAAACAAACUUUGUAUAAAUAAGAUAAAAUUGAAAUAUCUAAUUUAGAUCUAAAAAUAAAAUAUAUACAUACAUACAUACAUACACACACACACACACUUACACUAAAAAUAGCAUAAAACAUUAGGUUUGAUAAAAAAAAUUAGGCGUUUACAGAAUGCUCCUCUUUGCUUGGAAACAUGGAGGGUUUUCAAACAAAGAAGUGAACACGACUAAUUUUUUAUCAAAUAAUUUAUUCAAAAAUAGAAAAAUAAAUAUGAAAAAGAGGUGUGAUCAAGCCCUUACUUUGAGCAGCCUACAUAUCUCGGAUAAUAAGAGAAUCAGGUCACGUGUAGUUCAAAUGGGUGUAGAAAUGAAAGAAUGAGUUAGAAAGUCGAGUGAGGUUCCGUCAAGGUUCCGAUUCGUGGCUCCAUUUAUUAUAUCAGAGAAAGAAAAAAAAUGAAACUAGAAAGAAAAAUACAAGAACCCAUCUAUUCUACUUAUCUUGAUUCUCUUGUUUCAGAUAUUCUUUUUGGAUCUUUGGUUAUCAUUUCACCUUUUUCUGGUGGGUACCUUGAUCUCAAAAUUUAAUCUUGAAGUUAGGAUUUGAGACGUGAACUUAAAACUUGAAUUGAGUCAUUGGCGCUCCUCCAAAGGACAGUUCAUAAAAUAUUAUUAGAUGCUUGUUCUCUUGAUCAAAAGCUAAGAAGAUGACUCUUGAGAAACUGGGCCGCUACAUAUGCAAAGUUGGCUCUAACUAUCUUCAAGAUUGAACAUUCUUCUCUACUCUAAUCAGAGAUGUGAUUCCAUUCUUGGACAUCAAAUUUGUUCUUUGCAGAAAAACCUGCAAGCCAUCAAAGAAAAACAAACAAAGACGAACAAAAAUUUUCUGCCCCAGUUUGCACUAAGAAAAUUUGGUGAGUUAUUAGAAAAACUAUACAAUAAUUUAAAAAUAAAUAAAUAAAUAAAUGAAAAUGAUAGAAAUCUAAGCUAGGUACACAAUAAAAUAAGAUUCUUGUUCAAAAUAAUGCAAUCAAGAGAUGUUAUACCUAUGAGUGCAUCAAAAGGAAUUGGGAUAUUUACUUCUUAAAAUGCGACUAAGGAUUGUCAUACCCUAUGAAGGCUUAAUGAAGAAAAAUGGGAGAUUUUAAUUUUUAAAAUAUCUACUAGGGGAUGUCGUGCCCUAUGAAGACUUAAUGGAGAAAAAUAAAAAAGUUUGUUUUCCACAAUGACAACUAGGGAAUGUCGUACCCUAUGAAGAUAUAAAGAAGAAAAUAGGAAAUUUUGUUUCCUAAGAUGUCAACUAGGGAAUGUUUUACCCUAAGAAAACAUAAAGAAGAAAAUAAAAAAUUUGUUUCCUAAGAUGUCAACUAGGGAAAGUCGUAUCCUAUGAAGACAUAAAAAAGGAAAUAGGAAAUUUUGUUUCCUAAGAUGUCAACUAGGGAAUCACUAAUAGAAAAAUGUCAAUUACAUGAAAUUUUUUCUGCAAAUUAUAUAUGAAAAUUCGUAGAUAACCUAGUUUUCUGCGAAUUUUCCUACUAAAAAAGUUUGAUGGAAAAACUUUGGUUGAUAAUUAUUACCUGGAAAUUUUAAAAUUUCCAAAUAAGUUACAUGGGGAUUUUGCAAUCGCAUAAAAGUUAUCUUCGAAUUUUCUUGUCAAAAAUGCCUAAAAUUCGAAAAAAAAUUAAUUAAAGAAUUUGUGAAAGUGGUAUAUUCAAGGAAAAUUUCGCUAGUGAAUUUCCUAAUUGGAAUUAGCGGAUCUUCUUUAAUUGAUUCUUUUAUCACACCGUGAUAUUUCACAUCCUUGAAUGGCCCCAUUCGAGAACAAUUGACUGCUGACAAAAUCAUCAACGACUGACAUUCCUUAUUUCUAAUCAACAACGUAUGAAUAGUUCCUUGAGGUUGGUUAAGAGAUUGUUGAAUUUUUGCCUUGGAAUAGGAAUAAAUUGAAGAAAAGGGAUUGAUAUUGGUAUAAUCUGAUCCAUUAUCAGAGAGCAAUUCUGACCUCGACGGAUCAUUCAUUUUUAAAAUUUCCAAAUAAAUUACAUGGGGAUUUUGCAAUCGGAUAAAAGUUACCUUCGAAUUUUCUUGUCAAAAAUGCCUAAAAUUCGCAAAAAAAUUAAUUAAAAAAUUGUGAAAGAGGUAUAUUCAAGGAAAAUUUCGCUCGCGAAUUCCUAAGAAGAGGGGUUGGAUUAUUUUUUAUCUUAUUCAACUAUAUGAAUAUCUCUACUUUCAGGAAUUUAUUUUACUACAUCUACACAACCUACAACAAUCAAGACGGACAUAAAAUCUCCCCACUAUCCUUUUUGACCAACUCUCAAACUCAAGUGCCACUUGCCUAAGCGCACAGUUUGCUCAUUAUAAAGCUUAAAAUGUUGCUUUCCCUGUCCGAUGUGGUACAAGCAAAUGGGUGUAAGUUUUCUUUCAAAAAAAUAUUAUUCAUUCGACCAUGAAAAUUAAAAAUGUAUUCACUUUAUUUGAUAUUUUUAAAGUUGAAAAUAGAGUUGAAGUUGUGUUUGGUCAUAGUAUAAAAAUAUUUUGAACUUUGGAUGCACUUUUUUUAUAAAGUAAUAGAAAAAAUUAAGACUAAAAGAAGUGAAAACACAUCUAGAGGUAUUUUUCAAAAAAUCAAAAAUUGUGAAAAGAUAUUUCAAAAUGCGUAGAGUUUUCAUGGUCAUACAAGUAUUUCAAAAUAAAGUAAAAAUAUAUUUUAAAAUAUUGUUAAUAAUAUUUAUGAUCGAACGCCUACCAAAUAAGGGGAUUAAAUUUCAACUAUAAUUAAGACUGAGUAAAUUAAUGAAUAUUCAUGUCAUUGCUAUCAGUAAAUAAAAUGGUAAAGAUCAUUUGUAUUUAUCAAUUGUUCUUUAAAAAUUAAAUUAUUCCUUACUUUUUUAAUAAUAGAGAUUCUACCCCGUUAUAUGAUACAAUAACUAUUUUAUGUGCAAUUUUUUAAUCAUCUAUCUGUAUCAUACCUUUUUAAUGUUACAUUUAUACGUAAUACUUUAUUUCCUAACUUAGGUAUCAAUUUAACCUAUAGUUUAAAUAAUUUUAUAUCUUAUCAUAAAUUUUACUUAAGCAUUAAUUAACGUUACAAAUAAAAUAAGUCAUUCAUGAAGUUUGACACUAUUUUAUAUGAUGAUUAUUUUAUAGUACAUACAUUGAAUAAUAUACGAUGUAUGUAUGUGCGUAUAUGCGCGUAUAGUUAUGUUUCACUUAUCCCUUGUUUCUUAUUGUUUAUAUGGAUAAACGAGAUUUGAUUUCAUCAAUUGAAUAUUUUAUUUUUGAAACCUAGUUAUUAAGUGAACUGUUGAUAUUUCUUAAAAUUAAAACUAUACUAAUAGUAAGAAAGUCUACAAAUAAAUUUCCUAAAACUAAUAGUUAGUCAUAUUUACGAACCCAAAAUUUCAAGUAAUAAAUUUUUAGAUAAAUUCUCAAGUAAUAUUUUUAGUUUACAAUUAAAAGAUCAUCAAUUAAUAAAAUUUCCAUGUAAAUUCCUAAAAAAAGAUUCAACAAAAUCCACAAUAAUUUUUUUAACUAAUUCCCCAAGUAAUAAAUCCGUUGGUCAAUCCCCAAGAAGUAAUUUCCAAGUAAAAUUACCAAAUCAAAAUUCCCACAUAAUUUCUCAGGUAAGAAAACCUCCGGAUAAAUUCCUAGAUAAAUAUCCCUAACUAAAUUUGCAAGUAUCUUUCUUGGAGAUUUCUCUGCAAAUUAAUAAAGAAAUUUAUUUUAGUCAUUUAUCUGCAAAUUUAUCCAUGAAAAAAAAUUGUGAUUUUCUCCUACAUAAUUUUCAAGGUAAAAUAUUUCACAAAAUGACGCCAAAAGUAUCUAUGGAUUUUCUUGAGAAAAAAAUAUUUUGCAGGUAAAAUACACUAAAAUUUAGGAAUUUCAUAUUUUCGCAUGAAAAUCCCUAAGAAAUUUCUGCGGACAAAAUCCCCAAGUAAAAUUCAUAGGUAAUUCACAUUUUUCUGAUAGUGAAUGUCGUACCCUAUGAAGACUUAAAGUAGAAAAAUAGAAAAUUUUGUUUCCUAAGAUAUCAACUAGGGAAUGUCGUACCCUAUAAAGAUGAAGAAGAAAAUUAGAAAAUUGUGUUACCUAAAAUGUCAAUUAGGGAAUGUCGUACCCUACGAAGACAUAAAGAAGAGAAUCGAAAAUUUUGUUUCAUAAGAUUUCAACUAGGGAAUGUCGUACCCUAUGAAGACAUAAAGAAGAAAAUAAGAAAUUUUAUUUCCUAAGAUGUCAAUUAGGGAAUGUCGUACCCUAUGAAGACUUAAAGUAGAAAAAUAGGAAAUUUUAUUUCCUAAGAUGUCAAUUAGGAAAUGUCGUACCCUAUGAAGACUUAAAGUAGAAAAAUAGAAAAUUUUCUUUCCUAAGAUGUCAACUAGGGAAUGUCGUAACCUAUGAAGACAUAAAGAAGGAAAUGAGAAAUUUUGUUUUCUAAGAUAUCAACUAGGGAAUGUCGUACCCUAUGAAGACAUAAAGAAGAAAAUAGAAAAUUUUGUUUCCUGAGAUGUCAACUAGGGAAUGUCGUACCCUAUGAAGACUUAAACUAGAAAAAUAGAAAAUUUUGUUUCCUAAGAUGUCAACUAGGGAAUGUACCCUAUGAAGUCUUGAAGAAGAAAAUAGGGAAUUUUAUUUCCUAAAAUAGCAACUAGGGAAUGUCGUACCCUACGAAGACAUAAUGUAAUUGUUAUUACCAUAUUUUUUUAAUUUUAUUAUUAUUUUUUUUAGAAAGAAAAAAAAAAGUGCCCCAUUUUCGAAUGUAAGUGGUUUUGAUUUUUUUGAUUUUUUUUUUCAUUUUAAAAAAAGAAGCUCCAAUACUAAACCUUUCAGGGAUAUAAAAAAAUUAAUUCUGCGAGAUCGAACCCUAUUGUAGGAUUGCCUAAGUAUCUUGCGCAGCAAGAAUCGGGUCUAACGUAGUUCAUAAAAAUAUAAUUUUUUUUAUUUCGUUCUAUUUUGAAAGUAUGUGCUUUAUAAAGAUCAGAAGAAUGAAAAAAAUUCAUUUCUUGACUUCGAUUGAUACCAACAAUUAAUAUUAUGCAUAGGAGUCACCUCAAAUUACUUGCAAAUAAGAACCGAAGUCAACUCAAAAGUAAUUAGUAUAGUUUCAAAUGGUACCUCAGGUAUACUUAAGUUUUAUACAAGAUAUAUAUGUCAUGCUCUAAAUUAAGCAUUUAAGUUGCUCUUAUCCUCAUGUUUCUAGUUCCCUUACCGCAACUAAAGUCCUAAUUCACUCACCAUAAAAGAGUUUAAAUUUUAGGACGUUCAAGAAGCACUCACACUCAGAAAGAUAUUCGAUCCAUGCAAUGAGAUACCAUAAGCUUGACCAUCAUGUAAGUAUCUACUAAUAUGAGAACGCUUAGAGUAGGAUCUUGUAGGACUUGUUAUCGGCUUGUAAUGUAGGCUUGGGGAUAGGUAGGAUGAUAUUUGUGAUGUAAGUGACUAAUUCCUCAAUGAGCACUGCAAUGUUUUCAUACUUUUGACAUUUGUUGGGGUUUGACGCUCGAUCUUCUUUGUUGUGCUUCUUUACCCCUUGUUUGAAUCUUGUGUUGGAGCUUUUCCCCUUUUUUUUCGAUAAAUUAGUUUUCUUAUUCUUUUUUUUUUAUGAAGAUUGAUCUCCAUCUUUGUUGGAGUUUUCUAAUUUUUUUUAGGAUUUUUGCUCCUUCUUCUUUGAAAUCGUCUUUUAUUUUUGUUCUCCUGGGACUAUAUGUUCUUGCCUUUGUCGCCUUUGAUCUUUAAUCUUCAUUUGUAACUUGUACGUAUUUAGUGCGCUCAAGAUGGUAGGCCAAAAAAGGGAUAGUGCAUAUAAACACUCGAAAGGUAUAGGCACAGAUGUGGUUAUCCAAGGCUAAGCUUUCAAGCUCAAAGGGGAAAAUGAUAAGGAUUAAUGUCAUUUGGUGGGUUGUGGAAUGCACAAUCGGAUCAAAGAAGGCCUACAAUCCUUUCCCAAAUCAAGUGUAUCUCAGAAUUUUGCCUCAAUAGACAUUCAAGCCAAGUUCUAGAUCAACAGAGCGAUGCCAUUGAAUUUUCAAUCUAAAGCUCACUACACAAUACACAUGAAACAAUAAGGUAAAUUUUAGUAUAAUUAGAGGUACUAAAAGAAUCUAUAGUUCACAACCAAGUUAGUCCACUCUAUCAUGUUUUAUAAUUUAACAUUUUUUUAAUUCAUAUUUUUAAGUAUGUUGAUACCAUUUGUUAAGUCAAGAUUUUUUUUUAGAUGAGACCGAACCCAAAAGAAGAAUUGCCUACGUAUCUUGUUUAAACAAGAAGCAGGUCAGACGUAGUUCAGGAAGCUUAAAAUAUGAAGUAACAAAUUAUUCUUUUUUUUUUUUGAAUUUUGAAUAAGGAAGAAAAACUUUUUCUUUUUAAAAUUUUUCUUUUUUAAUACGAACAAUUUAUAUAUAUGUUUUUUUUUUUUACUUUGGAAAGAAAAAAAAUAAUAUAUGUAUUUACUUUUUUAAAAAAAAUUGUAUAAGGAUUUAUUUGAACAAAAUCAACAACCUUUUUUCAAUAAAUAUUUUUUGAAUGAGGAUCACCGAACCCGAAAAGGGUUGCCUACAUAUUAAAUUGAGAUGAGAAUCAGAUGUCUGUAGUUCAUGAAACUAGAGACAUGAAGAAACCCACUUUAUUUGAAUAAUGAAAAGAAAAUAAUUUUUUUUAAUUUAUUAUUAAUGAUUUUUUUUUUUUUUGUAAAUUUUUGAAAGAGAAUUGAUUAUUUUUUUUUAUAAGGAUCAAAACUCUUUUUUUUUUUUAAGAAAGUACAAACUUCGUUUUUAAGGAUCACCAAACUUGUGGAGGGCUGCCUACGUAUCUCACUGAAAUGAGAAUCAGGUGUGCGUAGAGACAUGGAGAAAAUUAAUUUUUAUUUGACUAAUGAAAAGAAAAUGAUUUUUUUUGAAUUUAUUAAUAGUGAUUUUUUUUAAUUUUUGAAAACGAAUUGAUUGUUUUUUUUUUAUAAGGGUCAAAGUUCUUUUUUUUUUUUUUAAGAAAAUACAACCUUCGUUUUUAAGGAUCGCCGAACUCGUGGAGGGCUGCCUACGUAUCUCACUGAUAUGAGAAUCAGGUGUGCAUAGUUCGUCCAACUGGAGAAAUUAAGAAAAUCAAUUUUGAUUUGACUAGUGAAAAGAAGAUAAUUUUUUUUUUUGAAUUUAUUAGUAGUGUUUUUUUUUAAUUUUUGAAAACGAGGUGAUUGAUUUUUUUUUAUAAGGAUCAAAACUCUUUCUUUUUUUUUUCUUUAAGAAAAUGUAACUUUUGUUUUUAAGGAUCACCGAACUUGUGGAGAGUUGCCUACAUAUCUCACUGACAUGAGAAUUAGGUGUGCGUAGUUCGUCUAGAUUAGGGCAAACUUGAUAAUUUAGAAAUUCUUAUCUUUUAUUUGUGAAAGAAAACAUUACACUCCAUUUGUAUUUUGAUAAAGAAUAGGUAUUACAAUUUUCACCCCCUCUUACGUCCAUGAUUUCACUUUAAAGUCGACCAACAUAGAGCCUAACUAGUUAAUACAACUAGUAGCACAGAAAAAUAAAUAGGCUUAAAAGAGGAUAUGUUUUAGAUAUACUGAGACCUUUAUCGAGCCUCCACUAAAUCAAAAUGUAUUCGAUGCAAAUAAAGCGGAUUCUUAUGGAUCUGAGGCUUGAUCUACUAGAUUUAUCAUCCUGAUGGAAUAAGUGUCUAGACUGACUGUAAAAUGAGCGGACAAUUCGAGUAGGGCAGGGACAGCUUAUCGGUAGCAGUGCUUUCCGGCCUCACCAUUGGUCAUUCCAAUAUUAAAACUUGUGUGACUAUAGAAUCAUUCCUAAGAGCAUUGCCGCAUCUUUGGUAUCUCAAGGCUUGGGAGCAUAUACCGUAUCUCCGAACAUAAAGUAUCUCAGAUGACUCAGAUGAGAGAAUGAGAGAAGAUAGUUUAUAUUGCAAUUCAAAUAAUAUUGCUGUUUAUCCCCAGCAGAGUCGCCACCUGUCACACCCCUAUUUUUACUGCCCCAAUCCCGCUAGGGAGUUAGUUUUAGAGAAAAUGAAUUUUUUCAAUUCAAUCGACGUUUUGAAAAAGAUUAUUUAUUUUACAGAGUCGCCACUUAAAUUGAGUUUGAGUGUUCCAAGUCACAUUAUUGAAUCCCCAAUCAAAAGGAAAUAACUCUUUCUUUUUGGUCUGUGAAUAGAAAUUUGGAUAAGAAAUUCUGUUAGCCUAGAGGAAGGUGUGAGGCACCCCUCGAGUCCCGUGGUUCUAACACGGUCGCUUUAAUAACUUACGUCCGACUUAAGUUAAUCUCUUGAAUAUACAAUAUUUGUUAGCCUAAAAGUAACUUUCAUCCAGCUUUUAUUUAUUUAAUUUAAAUUAUCUUAUUAUAUUAAUGUGUGGCUUACCGAUAGCAGUACGUUUUGGUCAUACCACAAGUUUGGAUAUAUUUAUUACGCCUUUGAGGCAUUUAUGAAUCGUGCCCAUUUUUUCAAGUCUAAAUAAGCUUCUAAGAUGUUUAGAAUCUACCCAACUUGAUUCAAUCGACUUCAAAUAGCAUAUUAAAUUUUAUAAUAACGAAUGGUCAGCAGCAGGACUUUCCAACUUCAUCGUUAACUUUCACUUGUAUUGUAAAUCUUAAUUUUUUGAGGUUAAGAACCUAACUCAUUCUUUUAUGAAUUCAUUCCCUUACAAUUGAUUUGUCCCCUCUCUUUUCCUCAAUAUCAAUAGGUCUUCAAUAAAUUCUCAAUCAAUCCCACUCAUCCUCACACAACUAGUUCGGGCUUUAAACCAAUUGAGGCCGUAAAAUAUUUUAUGACUUAAGAAACUAGUGAUUGUCUCAUGUUGCACAUUGUUUCGAGUCAGACCGUGAAGAAUAAACUUGAAAGUAUAUUAAACGACAUGCAUGUUUGUAGUUUAUAUAACUUAUAAACUAUAAGUAACGUACUACAAAUCCACUAUUACAACUCGCAACUCUCCAAUUUCAAAUAAUAUAUAAUAUUAUGAUCUUAUUUAUAUCUAAACUUUCACGUGCCAGUAAAUUAUAAAUUAGAGACCGUAACUUUUAUAUAGUGUCUUGUCAUUUAUCUUAAAUAAAUUUUUCAAACUAAACAAAUGAUUUAAUAGUGAUGAACAUCUAAUAGGAACACUAUUAAGUCCUAAUAGAACUAAUCUUGAACUGGUGCGAAAAAGAACUAAAAAAAAAUUGAUUUAGAGUCCCUAUUUUUAGAUGAAAAUUAUGUAUAAGAAUGGACAAAAAAUAAAAUAGAUUGUCACUUGAACAAUUUUAAACAUCACUUGCCCACUUGACUAAUGAAUUGAUGAAAAAUAUGUAACAUCAAAAAAAAAAAAACGAAUAUAACAUGUCAAAAGCAACUAGUGUUGCCACCUACACACAAACAAAUAACCUCACUUGUAUUUUUUUGUGCCUCGAAUACUAUUCAUAUUUUAAAAUACGUUUCAAUACCCACAUGCCCAGAAUCUUUGUGCAUUCUUUUAAAUAUAUAUUUUGUAACCCUAAUUCAAUUUUUGAUUCAUCAUUGUACGCAAUAGAAAUAUUUGGAUAACAAAAUAUAUAAUAUAAUUCAUGAUAAAAAAUCUCAUAUAAUUAAAUCAAUAAUCGCACAUUAUGAAACUGAACAAGAACCUGUAUGACAAACCAAAUCGAGUAUAGAAGUUAGAACGCAAUCAUCGAAAAACUCGAACGAAAACCACACGAAUUCGGCCUCUUUAAUGUCUAUUUUUCUCGUUUUCCUUCUUACCUUUUCUUUCCUGCCUUUUUUCUAUUUUUUUCUUUGCUUUUUGCUUUUCAAAAUGUUGUUCUCUCAAUCUGUGUCUUUCUCUUGUUUUUGUUUUCUCCGAAUUUCUCUCAACUUCUCACUUACUCUUUUUCCUUCUUUCUCUUUUUUUCAGUUUUUUUUUUCUGGCCCCUUUGAUCUCCCUAUGUGUAUUAUAUGUAUAGUGCAUGUGUGUGUCGUGUUUGGAUGUGGGAAAAUUAAGGAAAAUAUGUGAGUGGUUUUAGGUUAGUGGGGAAAGGGUGAUUUUAGGGUAGUGGAUAGAUUAGGAUAGUUUUUUUUUUUAAUUAAUAUUUUAAAUAAAAUAAAAAUGAUAAAAUCUAUUUAGAAAUAAUAAAAUACAAAAUAAGUUAAUAGCUAGUCUUAGAAAUAUGAUUAAGAAAUAUUAAUAUCACUAGACUCUUUAUUAAAAGUUAAAACAAGAAAACAAAUAUAAUUUAGAAAAUUUUCUUUUUUUCUAAAAAUAAAUAAAUAAAUAAAUAAAAUUAUUUAAAAAUGUGACUUUAUUUUAUUUUUAUAGUUUUCAGAACUUUAAAAAUAAACUUUGUAAAAAUAAGAUAAAAUUAAAAUAUCUAAUUUAGAUCUAAAAAUAAAAUACAUACAUACAUACAUACAUACAUAUAUAUAUACAUACAUAUCUCUCUCUCUAUAUAUAUUAUAACACUAAAAAUAGCGUAAAACAUUAGGUUUGGUUAAAAUUAAUUGUUUACAAACAUCCAUUUAGGCAAAGAGCCAUCAGAACUUGGAAGAUCUUGGCAUGUGCUUUCUUAUUUUUAUCCUUGUGAUAGGACGUCCAUGUUAGGUAAUUUUUUUUGGUAAUUACAAAACUUUUUGUGGUGCUAGAAAUUUAAUUCUAAUAGAAUAAGAAAAUGCACUAUCAACUGAAAGUUAUCACUUCAUAGUUAAUUAUUUUUUCUGUUUUGUUUUUAGAGUUCAAUUUAUUGGAGAGUUUAUAUUAAAAUGAAAAUCAUUUUAAUAAAACUCAUGCAUAUAUACUUUACGAGAAAAAUUGCUAAGAACUCUAAAUUGAUUCUGCUGCUAUGUAGAUCUUUAAGAAUAAUUUUAGUAAUCAUCGAUUCCAUAUGGAUCCAAUGUGCAACUCAGUAUCUAUAUUUACAUGAAAGAUUGGUUUGUUCACUCAUGAUGUAUAAUUUGGUAGAUGGUUUCAUAUAUUACAUACUUUACAAAUCCUUUUUAACAGAUAACUAUUCUUUAUUUAUGGGAAUAGGAGUGUAAGGUUAAAGCACUAAUCUUAGGCUCAACAUGAAUUUGCUAUUUUAACUCUUUAAAUUCUGAAUUUGAUGUAAUGUGGGAGUUCCUUCUAAUAAAGACUUAACAAUGUUUUGCGACUCUCCUUAGUGUUACGAGGUUAGUAAAAUCUUUUUUUCUAAAAUUAUUAUUUCAUUGUUUUAAUAAUAUUCAAUAUUGAUUAUCAUAAAUAUUCUCUACAUGAAUAUAUGAAAGUUUUGUUUAUGUACAAACUCCUAAAUAUUUUAAUGCUAUAUAUUUUGUAUAAUGGUUAACCGUGCAUGUAUGAUGUACCAUGGUAUAUGUUAUUUGUAGAUAACAGAGUAUUGAUUGAUGAGAUACACGACGAAGUUAAUAAUAGACUGAAGAUUUAUAGAUCCUAGCCAAACCCUAUUGUUAUCAUCUUUUUAAUUUUUUUUAUUCAAUGAUAUACACAAUUUUACUAGACGUUUUAAGGUAGACGAGGUUAGACAGGCAGUCCGCAGGAUGCGAAGGGGUAGGGCGACGGGGCCGGAUGAGAUACCGGUGGAGUUUUGGAAGUUCGUUGGAGAGGCUGGUGUAAGGUGGUUGACUGCAUUGUUCAAUGAAAUUUUCAGGACAGCAAAGAUGCCCGAGGCGUGGAGGUGGAGUACCAUGAUCCCCCUCUAUAAGAAUAAGGGGGACAUUCAGUGUUGCAAUAACUAUAGGGGGAUUAAGUUACUGAGUCACUCUAUGAAGAUCUGGGAGAGAGUGGUCGAGGUGAGGCUGAGACGGAUAGUGUCUAUCUCGGAAAAUCAGUUCGGAUUUAUGCCCGGCCGCUCGACGACGGAGGCAAUUCACCUGGUACGGCGGUUGGUGGAGCAAUAUAGGGAAAGGAAGAAGGAUUUGCACAUGGUGUUCAUCGACCUAGAAAAGGCGUACGACAAAGUCCCCAGGGAGGUGCUUUGGAGAUGCUUGGAGGUGAGUGGAGUACCGCAGGCAUAUAGCAGAGUAAUUAAGGAUAUGUAUGAGGGAGCGAAAACCCAGGUGAGGACGGCGGGAGGAGACUCAGAGCAUUUCACUGUCCUGACAGGAUUGCAUCAGGGAUCUACUCUUAGUCCCUUUUUGUUUGCGCUAGUAAUGGAUGUGUUAACGCGGCGUAUCCAAGGGGAGGUGCCGUGGUGUAUGCUUUUUGCAGACGAUGUAGUCCUGAUAGAUGAGACGCGAGGGGGUGUGAACGACAAAUUAGAGCUGUGGAGGCAAACUCUGGAGUCUAAAGGGUUCAGGGUGAGCAGAACCAAGACAGAGUAUGUGGAAUGUAAGUUUAAUGACGUAAGGCGAGAGAAUGAGGUAGUGGUGAGGCUAGAAGCGCAGGAGGUAAAGAAAAGGGAUAAGUUCAAGUACCUCGGGUCCGUGAUCCAGAGUAACGGUGAGAUUGACGAGGAUGUCUCGCACCGUAUCGGGGCGGGAUGGAUGAAGUGGAAACUUGCAUCGGGGGUGCUGUGUGAUAAGAAGGUGCCGCCCAAGCUUAAAGGUAAAUUCUAUAGGGUGGUAGUCCGUCCGGCCUUGCUGUAUGGAGCGGAGUGUUGGCCAGUUAAGAACUCCCACACCCAAAGAAUGAAGGUGGCAGAAAUGCGGAUGUUGCGCUGGAUGUGUGGACUGACCCGAAGGGAUAGAGCUCGGAAUGAGACUAUCCGGGAGAAGGUUGGGGUGACUUCAGUGGAGUGUAAGAUGCGGGAAGCACGAUUGAGAUGGUUCGGACACGUGAAGAGGAGGGGCAUGGAUGCCCCGGUCCGUAGGUGUGAGAGGCUAGCGUUGGAUGGUUUUAGACGGGGUAGGGGUAGACCGAAGAAGUACUGGGGUGAGGUGAUUAGGCGGGACAUGGAACAGUUACAGCUUACCGAGGACAUGACCCUAGAUAGGAAGGUCUGGAAGACGCGAAUUACGGCAGAGGAUUAGGGCCUGUUCGGGUCGCUAAUGUAGGGAGGUAAUUGGUGGGGGUGUAUUCCUGGUAUGAUUCCGUAUUCAAUGUUCUGUUCCGUGUUCCGUGUUCUAUGUUUGUUACGAAUCUGUGUGCUUUCCUCUGCUUUAUAUUCCUGCUUUCCUGCUUUACUCUGUUUUAUAUUCCUUAUGGCUGCAGUAUCUAUGUUAUGUCAUCUGCUUCUGUGCUGUACUAUGUGUUUGUUUGAUAUCUCGUAACUUGAGCCGGGGGUCUUUCGGAAACAGCCUUUCUACUUCAUCAGAGGUAGAGGUAUGGACUGCGUACAUCUUACCCCCCCCAGACCCCACAAAGUGGGAAUACACUGGGUUUGUUGUUGUUGUUGUUGUACUAGACUUUGGUGACCAUAAAAAAUAACGCUGCUAAUUGCGUUGGUUUUAUUUGUUUGAUAUUGGUUUAAUUUCGUCAAUUCAUGUUUCGCUUUACCAGAUGCUUGAGUUUAUGUAAAGGGGUUGAACGGAAAUAUUAAGUCAUCAUUCAAAUUCAAAAAUCAAAAUAUUUAGCAGAGUGGAUAACCAUAAAAAUGUUUCAUGUGAAUUUGAAAAAGAGCACACUAUUUUGAAUAUCUAUCGUAUUGAUAAAUGCGUAACAAUUUUAGUUUUUCCUCUAUAUAUUUUAUGAACAAUGUAGAGUGUAGACUCAUAUGCAAAUGAAUCACUUGGCUCUCAAGAAAGUAACAGUUUAAUAGGGAUUUUUACACAAAUAGCUGGUUGGAUUUACUGUUUAUUUUUUCUUUUCAUGGUAUACAUAGAUUAUACACUAAUUAUAAUAAUUAUACACAUAUUAUACAUCUUUUAUAAACCUUCCAACUUUUUAAAAUUAGAAGUGUGAAGGCCUUAAAAUUCUCUGUAAAUCUUAGCAAGAUAAUUAAAGAAAUUUAUUAAAAUGUCGAUCAGCUUUAACAAAAUAAUUAUGUAUGUUCUCUAAAUGUGCAUAUUUUCCCUAGCCUGCAGAGAAAUAUCCAUCCAUAUUCUCGAAGGAUUCUAUAUUUAGGAGCCAUUAAUAUAGUCUGUGCAUAUAAGGAACCACUCGCGUAACCGUUGCUCCACAUCCAUCUAUAUUUUAUUGAUAUCGGUGUUUACUUUGUUAUAGUGGUAACAACUAUAGAUGGUAGUACUGAUCCAAGCCACACACAGUUGCAAAAACAUGAAUAUGGAAAAAAGAUAUCUCACUAGCAGCAUUAUGCAAGUCAAAGUAAAUGAUCUCUCUCUCAUCUCUGUAGCAUGCAAUCACAUGCACAUAUAUUUGAUAGGUAAGAAAUAUCACCAGGUAAAUCAUAUAAAUUCAAUGAUUCGAUGCACCCUCUGAUAUUACUAGAUAUGAAGACAAUGUGUUUAUAUCAUCAGAAAUGAAUCACAUAUGUUGGUUGAGAAUUGAUAGACUAUUACUACACCAAAAAUGAUCUUUAGCUGUAAUUAUUUAAUGGAAAUAACUUAAUAACCACUUUUUUUUCAAGAACAAAAAUCAUAAAAUAAAAAAAGAAACAAUUUUUAUAUUUAAUAAGUCAAAAGUUUUAUUAAUACAAUUUUGAAUCUACAUACUUUUUUUUGAUCCAAGCAAAAAGAGAAUGUCUAGCAGAGUUAUAAUUACACAUUUUCCAGGCUACUAUAACCUAUACAACUAGCUUACAAAAGAAUUGGCUUUGUCACACCGUAGCCUUACACUAGCCACCUGUCUUUGUCCAGUAAUUAAGGUCCAAGGACCUCAUUAGGUAAUUGAUUCAAAUUCUGUGCAAUGCGAGGAGUAUCUAAUGCAGUGGCUAAUUUUGCUAAGCAGUCAGCAACCAUGUUAGCUUCUCUGUAACAAUGAGUGAAAAUCACGUCAUUAUUCUCUAUUAUCGCAUCGGUCUUUUCAUAAUAGGUUUAAGAAUCAGAUUGUUGGACGUUUUGUUCCUCAACAUAUCAUCGACAAUGCUAGAGUCAAGUUCAAUGGUACAAUGUUUGAGAUUAGCGUUCUUAAUCCAUUGUGCAGCAUACUUUGCUGCCAUAGCUUCAACUACAUUGUGAUUUUGGCAUUUUACUAGAACAGCAUACACAAAAAUCCUAUUUCCACCCCCAUCCCCGACAACUCCACCAAUGCCUGCCUUUCCGUUCUGCUUCAUAAAUCUUCCAUCUGUAAUGAUCUUUAUCAUUCCCGCUUGAGGCCUACUCCAAGUAACUAAACUACUUGUGACUUUUGGCCUUAGUUUCUCGAUCACUUCGCAAAGUUAAUUCCACUGGUAGUUCAUCUUAAUAUUAGGAAAGGCUUUAGCCAUAGCUAAUUUGAGGUUCCACAGAAUUUGAUACUCCAUUCUUCUUAGGUAGAAUCUGGACUGGUUGCCGUAUCUACAAGCACAUCUGACCUUCCACAUCUCCCAGCAAAUAAUGAUCGAUAGUAUUUGAAUGAUCAGCUUGUGAAUAUUGGUUGGAGUACUCCACCAAUCUUGUAGAAAAAUCCUUGCAGAUUUUCUUUGAUAGCUGAUGCCCAAUGGCUGGUCAAAUUAUUUUCAAAGAGUUUGUGUAACCUCACUCUCAAAAAAGAAAUGUUGGAUAGUUUCUAUUACUGCAACUGCAUAACAAAAGCAAUCGGUUGAAAUAUCAUCAGCAAACCUGCAAACUGAAUUUUUAGCAAAUGGCAAUUUAUUUUUAAUAAGUCUCCAAGAAAUGAAAGAUAUUUUAAAAGGAAUUCUUUUAUGCCAAACUCUAUUGAUCAUCUGGUCAAUUUGCCUGUGCACUCUGAUGUUGUUCCAGGCGUCUUUGUUGGAAAUAAUUCCAUCAGCAGCUGGUUUCCAUAUAAUGUAGUCAUUUUUGUCAAGAGUGCCUAUUUUGAUAGUGUAUAUGUGUUUAUAGAUCCAAUCAGGGAGAACGUCAUGAAGUUUUUUUAUAUCCAAUCUCUGAUUGUCAAUAAAAUUUGUGACCUUGGUGUCCUUAUAGAAUUGUUAUGUUCUAGACAUAAAUGAGCAAUAGCACCAGGACCAGUCCAAUUGUCCCACCAAAAAUUGCAUUCUUCAUUUUGAAUAUUCCUAAUCAUAUUUUGUUCUGCUUUUCUUCUUAUUUUAGUCAAAGUGCUCCAAAUAUAAGAGUUCCCAGAAAUCCAAACCUUGUUAACUGGAUGGGCUCUAAUGUAGUAUUUUACCUUAGUGGACUUGGACCAAAGAGAAUCCUGGUAUCUGAACCUCCACCAUUUUUUUUGUUGAGACUCUCACAAAUAUCAACCAUUAUUCGUAUUCCCGCUCUUCCUUCCUCUUUAGGAAAGCAUGAGUUCUUCGAUGAACUUCAGUGGUAAUUGUUUUUUCAAUUUGUGGAUCCCCCCCACAAAUCUGACAAAGUGUUUCUCCAUAAGCUUUAUAAUUUCCUUUGGGGGACUUAAAGCGGUGAUUUGUAACUUGGCAAAGACUGAAGGACUGUUUAAUAAGCAUAAUUUUCAACCUAAAAGAUAACAUGUUACUCUGCCAUCCAUUAAACCUUUUGAUUACCUUGGAAAGCAAUUUUUCAAUUCAAAGUAUUACACUCUCUUUUUACCAACAUAAAUCGAGCAUCCCAAAUAAUCAAAUGGAAAUUGCUUAUCCAGAAAGCCAGUUUCAUCUCUUAUUUUGUUGAUUCUGCUUAGUCCAGUACCAGGGGCUGUAAGGAAAAAACACUUGUUUCUAUUCAUCUUUUGGCCUGAAUAUCUCUCAUAUCAUUGAAUCUGUUUCAUCAUCAUUUUAAUAGAUUUGGUAUUGUCACUGGUAAAUAUACAAAUGGUUAAUAAUAGGACCUGUAUUAGACAUAGAAAAAGGCAAAAAAUGUUCACUAUGAAUUAGAUUAUUAAGCAGCCUAGAUAGAACUUUAGCACCAAUUAUGAAAAGAGAAGGAGAGAUAGGAUCUCCUUAUUUAAGGCCCUGGUAAAAAAAAACCAUUUCUGGUUCCAUUAAUAAUAAUGGAAUACCAUAUAUUGGAGAUAAUGCUCAUGAUCAUGUUUGUGACUUCUAUAGAAAAACCAAACCUUUUUAAGACAACAAUAAGAAAAGACCACGACAUUCUGUCAUAUGCCUUAGUCAUAUCAAGUUUGAUGACCAUAUUUCCUUCUUUGUUCUUGCUUUUGAUAUUAUGCACAAUUUCCUGAGCUAAUUGAACAUUCUCUGUAAUAAGCCUUCCUUUCAGAAAACCACUUUGAUUUUCUGACAUCAUAAAAGGCAACAUAGUAUUGAGUCUUUUGGAAAUAAUCUUGGUAAUAAUUUUACUAGAAAAUUUUCUCAAGCUAAUAGGUCUGAAAUUAGAGAGGUUGUUUGGGCACUCUACUUUACGGAUUAGUACUAGAAGGGUAUGAGUGAAGAAUUUGGUCAGUUUUCCUCCGAGAAAGUAAAACUGUACAAAUUCUAUCACAUCCUUUUUAAUAAUAUCGCAACAAGUAUGGUAGAAUUUCCCUGAAAAUCCAUUGGGUCCAGGUGCACUAUCUGUGCUCAUAUUGAAUACUGCAUCUUCAUAUGGACAUGAAGUCAUAAUCCUAUUAUCAUCAUCAGUAAUGCAGGUGGGAAUACACUUCAAAAUCCUUGGAUCAAUAGUAGCAUUUUUUAGAUAAAAAAGUUGUUCAAAAUAUUUGAUAGCAACUUUGGCAAUUUUAUCAUCACCAGAGACCUACUUUCACUUCUUAUUUUGAUUCUAUGUAAACAUAAAAUUCUUCUUCUAUCUCUGAUCAUAACAUGAAAAUACUUGGUAUUACUAUCACCCUACUCAAACCAUCUGACAUGAGAUUUUUGGUUCUAAAAAUUGUCCUGUCUAUCGAGCCAGCAAAUAUAAUCUACCUUCCCUUUAUUCAAUUCCUCCUUAGUAUCUUCAGUUCUCAAAUUUAAGUCCAUAUCCUCUAACACUUGCAUUUUUGCCUCCUAGAUAUCAGCUUGUUCAAUCACAUCUCCAAUAUCUUCCCUUGACCAUUUGGAUAGUCUUCUUCCCGUGAGUUUGAGUUUCUGUUGUAAUCUCCACAUUAGAUUACCUUCAAUGACCUUAUUCCAUUCAUUACUCACAAUGUCAAGAAAAUCCUACUGAGUAGUCCAUAAGUUCAAAAAUUUGAAGUAUUUUUUACAAACAUUGUUUCUGUUACGAUAUCUCAACAACAAAGGUUUGUGGUUCAAUCCAGUCCUUGGUAAGUGUUUAAUAAUGUUGGAGCAAAAGAUUUGAGACCAUCUAUCAUUGAUAAACACCCUAUCCAGCCUUUUCCAAAUUCUCUUGCUUGGUCUCCAAUUGUUGCACCAAGUGAAUUUAGAACCAGUGUACCCGAUAUUGAUCAUACCACAAGAACCCAUACAUUCAACAAAAUCAUAACUUUCAACAUUUUUAUGAGGCAGACCUCCCAAUUUCUCUUUGGAGUGGAGAAUCAUAUUAAAAUCUCCCCCAAUACACUAAGGAUGACUAAUAAUAGCAUCUAUAGAUUCCAAACUCCUCCAUAAUUCUAUUCUUUCGAUACGAGUGCAUUUGGCAUAAAUAGUAUUUACAUAUAACUCCUGGAUGUUAUGGUCUUUUUGAACUUUCAAAGUAAUAUACUGUUCAUGGUUCUCAAUGGUAGUAACAGUACAAUUCUCUCUCCAGAAACACCACAUCUGUCUGUUGAUAUUUGUAGUGCAGUGGUUGAAUGUCAAAAAUCUUUUAUACCCUUCCACUUUGUUCAUACUCACCGUCGGUUCUGAAUAGUGAUCAUAUCCAAGUUAUAUUUGUUAGCCAUCCUUUUGAGUCUAUGACUGGCUUUUCGAAACCUCACCCCUCUUAUGUUCCGAAUGAUUGCACUGAUCAUUAGGAAACGAUUAAAGGUUGGAGUUUUUAUUUCGACCCCCUCCCCCCAAAAAAAGGAGGUGUCGAUUUAAUUCUGCUAGAUUUUGUACCUAUGUUUCUUCUUCUAUGGCUGUUUCUACCUCUCUUUACGUGAGAUAUAUCAUUUCUAUACAUGCUCUCUCAGAUGUUGUUGAGCAUCGCUUUCCUCUUCAUUUCUCUCAAUUGAUUCUUAGCAUUCCGUUGGAUUCUCAUUAGUAACCUCCAAUUUUUCAUCAUUUGUAUUGCCAAUCACUUCUUGAGAUCUGUAUGUAUCCAACAUAUUACCACUAAAUAUAUUUUUUAGAGGUAUUUAUCAGCGACUUUACAUUUUAGCUCAAUUUGUAAAUGCCCCUAAAGCCUAUAGCAUCAUUAGAUUCAAUGGCAGUUAACUAAUGUGAUAUAAAUUUUAGCACUCUUUGUCAAAGUACAUAUUUAUUGCCGCUAAUUUUUUUUUUUGGUGAUAUAAAAAGGGUCAUCCCAAUUAUGCCUUUAGCAUGUUCAGUUGCAGAUUGCUGCAAGGCAGCUUCUAGAAGUCAAAAGCCUCCAUUACAUGUUUUUUCUCAAUAUGCACGUGAAGUGGAAAUAGCAUCUUCAUCAAAGACGAGUUCUAUGAAAGCUAUACCAACCUUUUCUGAAAAUCGACUCUGAGCAAGAGCUUCACUAAGGCGUAUUAAACUCUCUAGAUGCCUUGGUGUUACCGUAACAGCCUGAAAAAUAUUACAUAUUAGAUAUUAGGUAGUAGUACUUGGUUGUGGGGAUUAUCUUAAGAGUGCAAUAUAAAGAGGCACACUCCAUUCUAUAGCACAUAGUGUUAUUUUUGUAGUUUUCGGGUAGACAAAAAUCUAUAUUUUCGCAAAAUAAUUUCAACACAAGUUCAAGAAUAAAUCAAGAACACUUAUGAAGUUUCCAACACCUUCAACACAAGAUCAAUAAACGACCUUUCAAAGAAGUGUGUUUUCAGUAUUUUAAAGAAAAUUAGAUAAGCAUAAAAAACUAAGUGUCCUUAAAGAAAUAAUUCCCCUGAAGUACCCGAGGUUGCGAAAUUUUCCUCCCAGGAUAAAAUGUCUUAACAAUUCGACUAUAGUAGUACCUCAAACGAUCGGAUUUUCUUUGAACUCAGUCAACAGUUAGAUGAUCACACGUAGUAUUUUAGAAGACAAAUGUUUUCAAGUGCAGAAAAUUUAUUCUAAACUUGUGAAAAAAUGUAGGUUUAUAUAGCUAUUAAGUGUUCUUUUUGAAAGGUGGCAAUGGUUCAUCAGAAAGGUGUAUCCUUUUGAAUAGUCAUGUCUGUCUAUUCGAAAUAGUGUAUCUUUUUCGAACAGCCAAAACCAUCCAAACAGUCAUACCUUUUCCUAAAAUAGUGUCUUUUACUCGAAGAGUUGUGCCUUUCCAAGCAACUUUUCAUUUUUCAUUCACACCAAUUGAACCCAACAAUCCCCCAUAUGAAUGGAAAAUGGCUACUCUUCGUAAAACUUUACGGACAAGUAUGUGAUCAUUAAGCAAAGACUGAUUGCAUCUGGAUAAGUAGGUUUCCCUUUGAACUUUUCAUAUUGAACAUGCAUCGGAUGCACUUGGUCAAUCAGUAUAUUUGAUAUCUUUGAACCAUCGAGCUUUAAUGUACACCUAGACAACACAUGUCAUACAACCAGCCUUUUACCAUUUAUGGUUCUCACAGUUUUUGUUGUUUCAGCCAUGAACACGUCUCGGUCUCAUAAGAGCUUAGAGAAUAGGACUUUAAUAACAUUCUCCUUGAAGUGGCUCCCUCUUUACCCUCACAUAGGUGAUUUCUAAACGUUAAAUCCUCUAGAUUAAUCUAUUUGGUCAAAUAUGCCAAAUUUAGAUAAUCAUUAAAAGACUUCACACCAUAAGUCUUAUCCUUGUUUACUAAACAUUGUCUACAUCAUGAGAAUGGGUUGGGUAUAUUGACAAUGUUGAAUUUGUCAGACACAACUUUAUUUGAUCUCCUUGAAUCUAGCUCUUGGGAUCUCUAGUCUGCUAGGUAGAGUUACUGCCGUGCUGACUUGUCCUAGGCCGUAAAUCCAUUCCCUUGGAUGCUGUUCAAAGCACCAAUAUGCACCCAGAUUUAGACUUGGUUCAAGAACUUUUGUAUGAAUUCUUAAGUAUAAUUCAGCUUUUAUUCCAUUUCGUGCCUAAUAGAUAUGAUUAGUACUUUCAGGUUCAAAAUCAUGAAGAAUUGUGCAUAAUUGGAUACAACGAGAAUAUGGAAGUAGUGAAGGAAUGCAAGAGAGUGAAAUUAAGCUGAAAAAUGGAAGCUGGAAAGUAGGAAUCCUCAUUUGAAGACACUCCGCAUCGCGGGGAUCAACAAAAUAGCAAUGGUCAAAUUCUAGUGAAGGUUCGCGAAACUACCACAUCGCGGAGUAGUUUCAUUUACCAGAUUUAGAGACUUGAAGGUUUAGCGGAGGAUGACUAUUUUGCAACUGUCCCAAUCCAGUGGCUCACCGCGAUAGUGGCGCAUUACGGUGAGGGUGCAUUUUACAAUUGUCAGGGGAUAUUUGAGCUCCCCGAUUUCCUAGAUUUUAAUGGAAAAUAACAAUCAAAGUCAUGGCGCGACAUGUCGUGUGGACAAAUCGAGAAUAUUUUAAGUGUUUUAUCUCCGCUACAAAAGGAAAAAUCCAAGAUAAUGUGGGGGAACUUUUUUUGUCAAGGAGAGCAGCGGCAGAAAAGGAAAAAUUUCUCUCUUUUAGGGUUCUAAAAUAUUCUUUUAAAUUUAUUUACUUCAAGUUUUGUUUUGGGUAUGAUUUAUUACUUAUUUUGGAUGAUGAAUUCAAACAUGAGUAGCUAAACACCCUAUUUCUGGGGUUGAGUCUAAGAACAUGAUUACUCUUUAAUAUUCUUAUUCAUAGUUUCUUUUUGGAAUAUAAUCUGGAUUGUUCUUAAUUUUUUGAGCUUACUAUUUUAACGAUUGACCACAAUUAGAAUAAAUUUAUAUUUCUAUGUGAAUCCGGGAGGAGAAUCAUAGGUUAGAACAAAGAAAUUAGGGAGCAAGGUUCUUAUUAUUUUAUAAAAUAAGGGAUUUGAUUAGUAUCUAGGAUAGGGAUACACCUAGAAGCCUUGCUUGGUUCACUUGCAAGAAGACAACUUCAUGAAUCUAGAAGAUUUGUUGUAACUCUGCGGGAGUUAUAGUUCCAACAUUUAAUAGAUAGAAGAUUUGAGGUCGGGAGACCAAGAUCGUGGCAUAACCCUUACGAACCAGCAACCCAAUGACCAAUUAGACUACGAUAAGAUUAGAGAAUUGUAUAACUGUUCAUAAUACCUCAACCCUGGAAUCGUCCUCAUCAUUGAUUACAACCGUUGCUUGCUUUGCUCUAGUUAUAAUUAAUUAUUUCUUGUUUAGUAAUUUACAUUUUAUUUAUUGAAUCAAAUUAAUCUUGAUACCAUCAAACAAUUAAUACUCAAUUGUCUUGAACUAAAGAUUGAAUAAAUUUCUAGUUUAUUGAUCCUCGAGGGAACGAUAUCUGACUGUCUAAGUCAUUAUAUUACUUGCACGAUCACGUACACUUGCGUGUGCAUAGAGACACAAUAAGUUUUUAGCGUCGUUUCUGGGGAUCAAAUAGAAUUAGUAAAUUGCUUUAAUUUUUGGUUUUUGAUAUUAAGUUUAAGUGUUAACAACUUGAUCUUAGCUACUGAAUUUUUGCAGGUUUAGAUGAACAUUGAACUGGCUAAGGAUAAAGAGUUAGUAGAGCCCUUUGCAGAACCAGAAGUGAUUUUUCAUCAGAGACGAAGAGCUCAAUACUACACUCAACAGGGAUCGAUGGAGGAAAUACGCGAUCCUAUAGUUGUUGAUCCAAAUAUUGGAAAUAUUCUAGCUCCUGUUGUUCCAGUUUUUCCUGUUCAACCAGUCGCAAGACCUGUUCGAGAAGUGGCAAUCCCAGUUACGCACUUUAUGACUAAUAAUAUUCUAAAGCCUGAACUAGGAGGUCGGUAGGAAUUGAAACAAAAUAUGGUGCAAUUGUUGAGAUCUACGGGAGAAUUUCAGGGACUCUCACAUAAAGAUAUAUAGCAGCACUUACAAACCUUCCUGGAGAUAAGCGAUACAUAUAUUCCUGAAGAUGUGAAUGCUGAUUAUGUCAGAAUGACACUCUUUACCUUUUCUCUAUUGGAGGAAGCAAAGAGAUGGAUACUUGCUGAAUCACACCAAUCCAUCACUACAUGGGAAGAUUGGGCUCGAAGGUUUCUCAUUCAAUCUUUUCUAUCUCAAAAAACUGUAUGAUUAAGGAGUGAGAUAUUGAGUUUCAAAAAGAAAGAUGGAGAAAAUCUCUACCAAGCUUGGGAGAGAUUCAAGGGCAUGCUCAGAAGUUGUCCUUAUCAUCAUCAAGCGAAUGAUGUUUUGGUGCAUACAUUUAUAGAAUGCCUUGAGUCUAAUACAAAGAUUCUCUUGGAUUCAGCAGCAGGGGGUCAAGCUUUGGAGAAAACAUAUGAAGAAUUGUAUACCUUGCUGAAUAAAAUUGCACAAGGGAAUCCUAGUUGGUAUGCAGACUCAAGGAAUGCUCCCAAGAAGGUUGUAGGGGUUUUAGAGGUUGAUCAGUUCACUGCAUUACAAGCACAGAUUGCAGCAAUGCAGAACUAUAUGACUACUCAGCUUAACAACUUAAAGUUGGGUACAACACAACUAGUAGCCGCAACAAAUGUAGUUUAACAGGUAUAUUCAUGGUGUAAAGUUUGCAGAAAUGGUGAGCAUAAAGCAGAUGCAUGUUCCGUUAAUCCAGAUUCAAUCAACUACGUAGGGAAUGCAAAUCAUCAGGGUCAACAAAAUUUUGGCAGUACAUACAAUCCAAAUUGAAGGAACCACCCUAAUUUCUCAUGGGGUGGAAAUCAGGCACAUAAUACAAAUCAGUAUAAGGGACUAGUGCAACCAAAUCCACAACCAGUUUAGAACAAUCAGGCGACUGCUUCGAAUAGUAAUAUGGAGGAGAUACUUAAGUAUUUUAUGGAUUAAUAAGUACAGUUUACGGUGGACAUGAAGGCUCAACAGGCACAGUUUGCAGCUGAGUUGAAGAGUAGACAAUUGCUCACAAGAAAUUUGGAGUUGCAGUCAGGUCAAAUUGCAGGAUCGCAGAAUACAAGGCCACAAGGAGCAUUGCCUAGCGACACUGAGGCUAAUCCUAAACAGGUAAAUGCAGUUACAACAAGGAGUGGGCUGCAAACCAAGGAGAUAGUUUAGGAGUAGAAUAAUUUUGUGGUCACUGAUGAUAGGUUGCAAGAGAAUGCAAAAGUGGAAGUAAAAGAAAAAAAGGCUAGUGAGGAGAUUCGUGUAAAGAAGAAGACUAUUCCCUUACCCUUUCCUCAAAGGGCAAGAAAGCAUCAAGAGGAAGCCAGUUUUAAGAAAUUUCUAGAUCUUCUGAAACAAGUCCAAGUAAACCUUCCUCUUGUUGACAUUCUGCAAAGUAUUUCAAAAUAUGCUAAAUACUUAAAGGAUAUUAUUGCCAAUAAGAAUCGAUUUACUGAAUAUGCUACAGCUGUACUUACUCAUGAGUGCACGUCUAAAAUUCAAAAUAAACUACCCGCAAAAUUGAAGGAUCCAGGGAGUUUUACCUUAUAGAUUACCCUUGGUCAAACUAUUUGUGCACGUGUAUUAUGUGACUUGGGUGCUAGCAUAAAUCUCAUGCCUACGUCAUGGUAUUGAAAGAUGGGUCUUAGAAGCCCUAAACCCACAACUAUUGUGUUGUAGUUUGCAAACAGGUCACUUGUUAGAACAGAUGGUAUUAUUGAAGAUGUACUGGUGCAAGUGGGAUCUUUAAUCUUUCCUGUGGAUUUUGUGAUUCUUGACUUUGAGGCUAAUCCAGUUGUUCUAUUUAUUUUGGGACGACUCUUUUUAGCAAUAGGGCAGUCACUCAUUGAUGUGGCAGCUGGAAAAAUAACAAUGUGAGCACACGAUAAAGUAGAGGUUUUUAAUAUGUACAGAGCAUUGAAAUUGCCAGCCAUAUACGAAGAGUUGUCCUCAAUAUCGAUUAUUAAUCUUGCUUUAGAGUGGCAGUUUCUUUUGUCUGAUGAUCCAUUAAAGCGUGCUUUGAUGGAUUAUGAUCUGCAUGGGGAUUUGGAAUCAUUUGAAUUGGUCCAGGUUAGGAAUUUGGCUAUAAUUGAGAUAAAUAAAGUGAUGAUCGAGCCUUUGAAUAGAUCAAUUGGUCCACCACCCAAACCUUUAGUUGAAAAAGCUCCUAACUUAGAACUUAAGGUUCUUCUUCAUCACUUAUAAUAUGUUUUUCUUGGUGAUCAAGAUACCUUGCCUGUUAUUUUGUCUGCAGGAUUAUCAGAUGUACAGGUAAAAAAAGCUGUAGUAGCACUUAAAAGGAGAAGAAAGGUGAUUGACUGGUAGAUAUCUAAUAUUUUAGAAAUCAAUCCAGCAUUUUACAUGCAUAAUAUUUACAUGGAAGAGGGGUACAAACCUAGAAUACAGCAAAAAAAGAGGUUGAAUCCUGUGAUAAAGGAGGUGGUCCGAAAAGAAGUGAUCAAGUAGUUAGAUAGUGGUAUUAUCUACCCAAUUUCCAAUACUAAAUGGGUGAGUCCGGUGUACUGUGUACCAAAGAAGAGAGAAAUGAUAGUAGUGACAAAUGAUGAUAAUGAGUUGGUUCCCACACGUGCAGUGACCGGCUGGAGAAUAUGUAUAGAUUAUCGGAUGUAGAAUGAAGCAACUCAUAAAGAUCACUAUCCAAUUUCCUUCAUUGAUCAAAUGCUGGAUAGAUUGGCAAGACAAGAGUAUUAUUGUUUUUUGGAUGGAUACUCUAGCUACAAUCAAAUAAGCAUAGCACUGGAAGACCAAUAAAAGACCACGUUCACUUGUCCAUACAGUACAUAUGCUUUCAGAUGCAUGCCCUUCGACUUAUGCAAUGCACCUGCUACAUUUCAAAGGUGUAUGAUGGUGAUAUUCUCAGUUAUGGUGGAGAAAUUUAUGGAGGUAUUCAUGGAUGAUUUCUCUGCGCAUGGGAAUUCAUUUGAAAAAUGUUUCCAAAAUCUUGAUAAAGUUCUAGCUCGAUGCGAAGAAACAAACUUGAUGUUGAAUUGGGAAAGUGCCAUUUUAUGGUUAAGUAAGGAAUUGUCUUAGGCCAUAAAGUGUCAUACAAAGGGCUGGAAGUUGACAAAGCAAAGGUUGAAGUGAUUGAAAAGUUGCCUCAUCCAGUUACAGUCAAAGGCGUAUGAAGAUUUUUGAGACAUAUUGGGUUCUAUAGAUGAUUCAUUCAAGAUUUCUCAAAGAUUGCAAGUCCCAUGUGGAAAUUGUUAGAGAAAGAAGCCAAGUUUGAGUUUAGAGCUGAUUGCCAUAAAACUUUUGAAAAGCUUAAGAAGAAGUUGACAGAAGCACCUAUUUUGAUCAUACCAGAUUGGGAGUUACCUUUUGAGGUAAUGUGUGAUGCUAGUGACAUUGCAGUAGGAGCAGUGUUGGGUCAAAUAAAAGAAAUGAUAUUUCGAUCGAUCUACUAGGCUAGCAAGGUACUGAAUGAUGCUUAAGUUAACUACACAGUUAUAGAGAAAGAGAUGUUGGCUAUGGUAUAUGCAUUUGAUAAGUUUUGAUCUUACUUAAUUGGUACCAAGGUCAUUGUUCAUACAGGCCAUGCUGCUAUUAAGUAUCUUGUGAACAAAAAGGAUGCAAAGCCAUGACUAAUUAGGUAGAUUGUGCUACUUUAAGAAUUUAAUCUUGAGGUGCAUGAUAGAAAAGGAGCUAAAAAUUAAGUUGUUGAUCAUUUAUUAAGGCUGGAAAAUUGAGACUAUAUUGUGGAUGACUUUCAGAGUAUCAAGAAAGACUUUCCUAAUGAGAAGUUGUUGUUAUUAGAACCAGUUGAGUUCCCAUGGUAUGCUGACAUUGUAAACUUGAUAGUUUGUGGGGUGUAUCCUGCCCAAACCACCUCGCAUCAAAGAAAGAAAUUACUCCAUGAUUCUCGUGCUUAUAUUUGGGAUGAACUGUACCUUUUCAAGAAGGGUCCAGAUGGAGUGAUUCGUAGGUGUAUCCCAGAGGCUAAAUUUUCAAAGGUGUUAUAAGAUUGCCACUCAUCUCCAUAUGGUGGACAUCAUGGGGGUGAAAGGACUGUGAGAAAUAUGUUGCAAUCAGGAUUUUUAUGGCCGACUCUGUUUAGAGAUACAGUGGUGUUUGUAAAGAGUUAUGAUCAAUGUCAAAGGUUGGGUACUAUAUCUAGGCAUCAUGAGAUGCCCCUGAAUAAUAUUUUAGAAGUUGAAGUCUUUGAUGUUUGGGGGAUUGAUUUCAUGGGACCCUUCCCACCUUUGAUAGGUAAUUUGUACAUUCUUGUUGCAGUUGACUAUGUCUCUAAAUGGGUGAAAGCUAUGGCGAGUCCGACUAAUGAUGCAAGAGUGGUGCUGAAUUUUAUGAAGAAGAACAUAUUUUGCAGAUUUGGUACGCCAAGAGCAAUAAUUAGUGAUGGAGGUAUGUACUUUAUCAACAAUUGGUUUAAGAAUCUUCUUGCUAAAUAUGGUGUUCGGCACAAGGUUUCCACUACAUACCAUCCUCAAACGAGUGGACAAGUAGUGGUAUCCAAUCGGGAGAUCAAGCAAAUACUUCAAAAGUAGUGAAUGGGCAGAGAAAAGAUUGGGCAGAUAAGCUGGAUGAUGCACUUUGGGCAUAUCAAACAGUGUACAAAACGCCCAUUGGGAUAUCUCCAUAUCUCUUAGUGUAUGAUAAGGUGUGUCAUCUUCCUGUAGAGUUGGAACACCAAGCUUAUUGGGCUGUGAAGAAGAUGAAUUUUGAGAUGUCUAUCGCGGGAGAAAGAAGGUUAUUGCAACUGAAUGAGCUUAAUGAAUUUAGACUCCACGCCUAUGAAAAUUCCAAGCUUUACAAGGAGAAGACCAAAAUAUGGCAUGACAAGCAAAUUCAAGUUAGGGAAUUUGAACUCGGACAACUUGUAUUGUUGUUUAAUUCAUGACUUAAGUUGUUUCUGGGUAAAUUACGAUCGAAAUGGUCUGGACCUUUUGAGGUGGUGCGCAUGACACCCUAUGGAGCUGUGGAGUUGUGGAAUAAAGAAAAUACAGAGAAGUUCCUUAUGAAUGGACAGUAUGUAGAGCAUUAUUGGGCGAAUCAUCCGGACAAGCACAAGGAAUCUAUCACUUUUGGUGAUAAGUAAUGACGAGCUGAGUCAUGCCACGACGUAAAAUAAGGCGCUAUAUGGGAGACAACCCACCCAUGUAUUGUAAUAGGUAGUUUAAUUUUUGGAUUGUAAAAUUAAAAAGAAAAUAAAAAUUCAAAAAAAUGGGUCGUGCCACGACCAAAACUAAGGCGCUGAGUGGGAGGCAACUCCCUUUUACUUAUAAUUUUUGUUGUUUUUGUUUGAGAUUGCAGGGAAUUUCAAAGUGAAAUGAGGAGAUUAUCACAUUUGAGAAAAGAAAUCAGGUUUGCAAAAUGAUAUGUGUAAGUGGAUAUUUUCUCAGGUAAGAAAGUAAUGAGAAUGACAUAAGGAAUCUAAUUUUGAAGCAUGGCGUGACACGAAACUGCUUAUUUUGACAAUUGUCAAAUUCAAGUAAGGAUACGCGAUUUCAAUCGCGACGCAGAGAAGUGUGAAUUGAGAAUUGUCAAAUUCCAGUAGCUUGUCGCAAUUUUCAUUGCAACGCGUAACUUGGAAAAUUGACAAUUUACAGUGACUACACACAAAAACUACCGCAUCACGGUGGGUAGUUAAAUGGUAUUUGGCAUUAUCCAGUAGGUCUACGCAAUCCUACCACGUCACGGAGUGGGCUAAAAUCGGACAUAAGCAUUUCAUUAAACCUAACCCAACCCGCCCCUCUAUAAAUAUACCUUUAAAACCCCAAAACCCUUUUAUUUCAACAUCAGCGCCGCCCUCUCACUCCCUCUCUGAUAAACUUCUACAAUUUUUCACUUUCUUUCAUCCUUAUCUCACUUUUUGAGGUAUGUGCUUUAAGAAUUAAUUUUAUUUAUUACCUUUCUUUUUGUGUAUUGUGAUGAUUGAUAGUGUAUUGAGGCAUAAUCUUGUUUUUUCCCUCUCAUAGUAGUUUUGAAUUUUAGCAUUGCCUAUGAUAAUUGUCUUGCCAUCGUUGUGCCCUCUUAAUUUAGUCAUCAUUAUUCAAAAUUGAUGUGAUGAAACUUGUAUGGGUAUAUUUUGUUGGUAUUUUGGAAAAGUUUUUUUCACAUAAUAGUUGUGAGGUCAGGGAAUGUAAGGGCAUUGUAGUUAGAUGGGUGAAGCAAGAAGGUUUAGGAAGUUGGGGGAAAUUUCAUUCCGACUGAAAUUGUGUUGAUUUAGUGGGGGUAAUUUCAAUUCCAUUAUGCAUGCACUCUUUCUGUCUGAUUUUAGUACAUUUAGUUAAAUUCGAGGAAAAUAAAUCUUUGCUGCAUGGGGUUUUAGUGACAUGAUCUCAUUCAUAACCUGUUAGUGAGUAAUUAGGUGGGAAUAGAUGGGACUGUGUUAUGUGCUGAGAAAAUGACAAAAGAUAAUGUGUCCCGCAGAGUAAUAUGAUGUCUAUAUAUGUGAUAAUAAGGCCUAGACAAAGGGAAGUCUGAGUACCUUGGAUGUUAACAUAGGUGUUUAGCUAACAACUAAGUGUGGGGUGCAAAGUGACCCGUAAUGCACACUCAGUUUAGCUAGUCUCUAGUUUAAACUACUCAAAUAUGUGUUGCAUUUUCUGAAUUACAGGCAUAAUGGAACCACAACCAAGUAGGGGAAAGGCAAAGGUAGGACCUUCUGCCCCUGCUAGGAAGAGAACCAGACCAUCUGAAGGGCAAUUAAUUAGGGUGCCUAGGGCCCCUCUACUUCAGCGGGGGUGGGUUCAAAAAUUUGGCUUCAAGGAUGUACGAAAGGAUGAAAAGUAGUGGUAUACUAAGCAUACUAAUGCUAAGUAUAUUCCGGAGGUCUAUAUUGAUCAUGAUCGCUUAAUGAUAGAGUGCCCAUCUAUGGUACAGAGAAUCGAGGCACUUAAUAUGAAUUUCAUUUUCCAUCAGCCGAUUGAGUGUAAUUUGCACCUUGUUAGAGAGUUUUAUGCCAAUUGGGACCCUAGUCAUCCUGAACAUUUGUUGAAGGUUCGAGGAAAGGUGAUUCGAUUCACAACUACUGAUGUUAACGAUUUGUUGGGUAUACCAGAAACAAACCCAAAAUUUUUUGAGGUAGUUUAUGUUUCUCCUCCGUGUGCGCAUAUUAGGAAUUUGUUGUAUGGUCAACGAUCUUCAACCGGUUGGACAAGGCAUUGUGUUACAGGUUUGCAUUCUUUCUUCCCCUACGCUUAAAUGAACAAAGAAACAAGAAUGUGGGGUCGUAUUGUGUAUGCAUGCUUGAUUCAAGGAAAGCAUAUGACUGAGGUAACUAGGGAUAGGGUAUGGUUGAUUUAUGCCCUAAUGUGUUCUGAUAUGGAGGUAAAUAUGGAGAGUAUAAUUUUUCUACUAUGAAGAAGGCGCGUACCCAGGUGGGGCGUAGCUUUGGAUUUGGAGGUUUAGUGACUAGAUUUUUAAGAAUGCAUAGGGUGGAUGAAGAGGAACUAGAUUAUAAGCCUGAGGUAAUCACUCGCUCUGUGGAUAUAACUACUGCAAGAAGCAUAUCUGGGGCAUCUGGCCUAAUUUUGACCAUGAUGGAGCGACAAACGAGGACUGAUGAGGUGCUGGGUAGGCUGUAUGGUCUCAUAAUGAUAAUGAUGAGGACAGGAGGCAGACCGGCUACACCAUAGGAGCUCUAUGCUGUAGAGGUCAACUAUCCACUUGGUCACCAUGCUAGGACCAUGUUGAGGAUUGGCCCAAAUUUUGUCGAGUCGGUUGAUGACGAUGUACCCACUGAUGAAUAACACAGGUAUAGGGAUUCCAACAUGGAGUCCGAUGAAGAGGAGCAAUCUGAUGAUGUAGGAUCUGAUGAUGAUGGCGACGAUGUGGACGUGGCUCCUAAAGACAUGGUUGCUAUAGUCCCAUUUGAGUGAUUAGAAAGUAUACUGCCACCCUACCAUAAGAUUAAUUGGAAGCACUGGGACAAUGCUUUAUUUUAAGUGUGGGGUGGUGGGUUUGUAUUCUGCUUUAUCUUUAUUUUUUGUAUAUGGUUGAACAAUUUAUUUUUACUUUUUUCUGUUUUGAUGUGUUUGCAAGUAUUAGAUAUUCGGAACAAUGGUCUAUAAUAGUUAGUAACUUUGACUUUGUGGAUUGCAAUUUGCCCUCUUUGGCAUUUAUCGCAUAUUGCUUCAGUUUAAAGUAUUAUUUUAUUGUUAUUUUCACCCUCAUUGGCAAGUUUAGUUUCAACUAGUCACAUUUUCCUUUGCCCUCUUUGGUAAUUAGGAAUAAACAGUCAUAGUUAGUUGUCAUCCCCUAUGAUAGAUGGAUAAUGACCGUCUUAAGGGAAGUGGUCGUACGAAGUAAAGAAAUUCAGGAGAACCUAAUCACUAUCUUAGAGGAGUGUGUAAAAUGGGCCAUCUUUGCAGUAACUGAAACUAAUUCUAGUAGCAAUAAGCAAAAGAGUGUUUUUAUUUUAAGUACUGAUGAUUUAAUCUAGAUAAAUGAAAUUUGAAGUGUUGGCUUAAUUUUGAAUUCAAUAAAGAACAUGAUUGGGAACCUUUGACUGAUGCCGUACAUGCACUGUGAGUGUGAGGAUUUGUAUAUAUUCUACAUGAAUAGAAAUGACUAGAACUUGCCCGGUGUGUCUACAAAGCAAAAUAAAGGGUCUUGGGUGUAGGAGGUGAUGUAGGCAUUUCUUUGACAGCCUUGUUUCUAACUUAAAUAGACCUUCCUUGGUGCAUAGUCUUAGUCAGCCUCGUUGAGCCUUUAGCAUUUUUCUUUGGUAGCUUGUUAUGAAACCUUAUCCUUUCUUUGCUAAACAGUAAUUUGGUCCAAAUAAGCUCCUGAGCGUUUUUAAUAUAAGACUAAGAGGAGAUUAUGAGCAAAAAUAAGGCAGAGAGGAGGUAAUCAGCCGAUGCCCCUAAAACAAUUGUUAUUGAUGAUUGAUGAUGCUAGGUUAAUUAGGAGUUAGUAAAGAGAAGUGUUACAAUGAACCUAUUUUGGCCCUGGUCCAAUUGGAUAAUGUGCACCUUAAUGAAGGCUUUUUGCUUGAGUUAAGGAUGGCUAUAAUAGGGGUGCGUAACAUAUAUAUAUAAAAAAAGAGAAAAAAAGAAGUAUGUGGAAGGAAUGACUAAUACUCCUCACCUAGUUUGAGAAUAUAUAUAUAUAUAAAGUAAAUGAAAGGAAUGACUAAUACUCCUCACCUAGUUUGAGAAAAUAAGAUAAUUGGACAAGGUGCUGAUAAAUGAAAGAAUAGGGAGAAAUAGAAUGAUAAAUUGGGGGUUAGAAAACAGAGUUAAUUGAUAAUUUUUGUACUAAAAAGCUUAGGAGGAAUAAUCACUAUUUCUGUAAAUAGUACCUACCUGUCUUUAAGCCUUAUUUACAACCCGAAAAAGACCUAGUUGAUCUUCACCCAAACAUCCGACUAUUAGUGGAGUAGGACUCUAAGGGAAAGCUUAUGGUUCGUUCACUAGCAUGUAAGAAUUCUUUGUUUAGAGCGAGUGAUUCAAUUUGAUACUCCCUAUUGUUACAUAGAUAUCAUUGUGAGUUAAUAUUGGGGAAAUUUCCUUGAGUUAGGAUGCAGGCGGAUGAAAGCCAGAUUACUAAUUGUGUUUAUUUAAUUGAGUUUGCCAACAUGUUAGGAAUUGAUUAUUGAAGAAAGAAGAAUUUGUACUAAAUUGUCUCAUGAGCUCGGAACUGUUUUGACAAGAUAAUGUAAGAAUACGUUAUUGAAAAGUGUAAGUGCCCAUUGCAACAUAACUUUGAGAUUGUGAUGUAAAGAGGAUGUAAUUAUGUUUUUUGAAUUUAUGUGUUCGAGAAAGAACAAGGUUUUAAGUAAGGGGUGGUGAUCUUGGGCAUAUUUAUAUGUUCAAAGCACCAAUAUGCACCCAGAUUUAGACUUGGUUCAAGAACUUUUGGAUGAAUUCCUAAGUAUAAUUCAUCUUUUAUUCCGUUUCAUGCCUAAUGGAUAUGAUUAGUACUUUCAGGAUCAAAAUCAUGAAGAAUUGUGCAUAAUUGGAUACAACGAGGAUAUGAAAGUAGUGAAGGAAUGCAAGGUAGUAAAAUUAAGCUGAAAAAUGAAAACUGAAAAGUAGAAAUCCUCAUUUGAAGACACUCCGCAUCGCGGGGAUCAACAAAAUAGCAAUGGUCAGAUUCCAGUGAAGGUUCGUGAAACUACUGCAUCGCGGAGUAGUUUCAUUUACCAGAUUUGGCGACCUGAAGGUUUAGUGCAUCACGGAGGAUGACUAUUUUGCAAUUGUCCCAAUCUAGUGGCUCACUAAGAUAGUGGCGCGUCGCGGUGAGGAUGCAUUUUACAAUUGUCAGAGGAUAUUUGAGCUCCGCAAUUUCUUAGAUUUUAAUGAAAAAUAGCAAUCAAAGUGAUGGCGCGAUGUGCCAUGUGGACAAAUCGAGAAUAUUUUAAGUGUUUUGUGCCCGCUAUAAAAGGAAAAAUCUAAGAUAAUGUGGGGGGAAUUUUUUUGUCAAGGAGAGCAGCGGCGGAAAAGCAAAAAUUUCUCUCUUUUAGGGUUCUAAAACAUUCUUUUAAAUUUCUUUACUUCAACUUUUGUUUUGGGUAUGAUUUAUUACUUAUUUUGGAUGAUGAAUUCAAACAUGAGUAGCUAAACACCCUAUUUCUUGGGUUGAGGCUAAGAACAUGAUUACUCUUUAAUAUUCUUAUUCAUAGCUUCUUUUUGGAGUAUAAUCUGGGUUGUUCUUAAUUUCUUGAGCUUACUAUUUUAAUGAUUGGCCACCAUUAUAAUAAAUUUAUAUUUUUAUGUGAAUUUGGGAGGAGAAUCAUAGGAUAGAACGAAGAAAUUAGGGAGCAAGGUUCUUAUUCUUUUAUAAAAUAAGGGAUUUGAAUUAGCAUCUAGGAUAGGGAUAUACCUAGAAACCUUGCUUGGUUCACUUGAAAGAAGACAACUUCAUGAAUCUAGAAGAUUUGUUGUAACUCUGCGAGAGUUGUAGUUACAACAUUUAAUAGAUAGAAGAUGUGAGGUCGGGAGACCAAGAUCGUGGCAUAACCCUUGCGAACCAGCAACCCGAUAACCAAUUAGACUAUGAAAAGAAUAGAGAAUUGUAUAACUGUUCACAAUACCUCAACCCUGGAAUCGUUCUCAUCAUUGAUUACAACUGUUGCUUGCUUUGCUCUAGUUAUAAUUAAUUAUUUCUUGUUUAGUAAUUUAAAUUUUAUUUACAGAAUCAAAUUAAUCUUGAUACCAUCAAACAGUUAAUACUCAAUUUUCUUGAACUAAAGAUUGAAUAAAUUUCUAGUUUAUUGAUCCUCAAGGGAACGAUAUCUGACUGACUAAGUCAUUAUAUUACUUGCACGAUCACGUACACUUGCAUGUGCAUAGAGACGUAAUAGAUGUCCUCUCAACUCCUUCUCUAGUUAGGUCUUUUAUAAGUUGAUCCAACAUAUUAUUAUUUUACUUCACAUAGUCAACAGUGAUAAUUUCACUAGAGAGAAAUUCUCUAAAGGUAUUAUGUUUCCAUCUUAUGUGACGAGAUUUACCAUUAUACAUCAUGCUCCCUGCCUUAUCUAUUACCGUUUGACUAUCACAAUGUAUGAAUACUGGUGUCAAUGGUUUGUGAUAGUAAGGAAUAUCUUUCAAGAAAUUUUGAAGCCAUUAUGCUUCUUCACCGGCUUUAUCUAUUGCGAUAAAUUCUGAUUCCAUCGUAGAGCAGGCAAUACAUGUCUGUUUGGAUGAUUUUCAAUAGACUUCUCCUCCACCUAUUGUAAAUACGUAUCCACUCAUGGAUUUUAUUUCAUUUUAUUCGGUGAUCCAAUUUGCAUCACUAUAUCUUUCAAGUACCGCGGGAUAUUUAUUAUAACGGAAAAGGUACGAAUAUACCCCUAAACUUUAAUAAAUGGUACAGAUAUACCCUCCGUUAUAUUUUAGGUACAAAUAUAUCCUUACCGUUAAUGAAAAGGUACAUAUAUACUCCUGAACUUUGAUGAAUGGUAUAAAUAUACCCUUGUCGUUAAUGAAAAGGUACACAUAUACCUUUCUCACUAACGGCAAGACAUGUGUCACAAUCUUGUUCAUUUUCCCUUUUUAAAUUUAAUUUAUCCCCAUCCUAUCUGAAAAAAUUCUAAUUUAACCCCCAAAUCAAUCCAAACAAUAACCCAAACCUGAGCCGGUCUAAUAAAACCUUCAAUACGCAUCUUUAUUCAACAUGUUUAUUCCUUUUUUUUCUAUUAGACUGGAUCGGAUAGGAGUUAUUAUUUGAAUCGGGUGAUGAGUUAAAUUAGAAUUAAUUUGGAAUGGAGUUGGGAUAAAUUAAAUUUAAAAAGGUCAAAUGAAUAGGAUUGUGAUAUGUGUCCUUCCAUCAGUGAGAAGGGUAUAUAUGUACAUUUUCAUUAAUGCCAAGUGUAUAUUUGCACCUAAAUUAUGACGGAGGGAAUAUCUGUACCAUUUAUCAAAGUUUAGGGGUAUAUUUAUACCUAAAGUAUGAUGAAGGGUAUAUCUGUAUUAUUUAUCAAAAUUUUAGGAGUAUAAAUGUACCUUUUUAUUAACGACAAAGGUAUAUUUGUACCUAAAGUACGACAAAGGGUAUAUCCGUACCAUUUAUCAAAGUACAGGGGUAUAUUCAUACCAUUUCGUUAUUAGAAUGCAAAGCAUAGUCUUGAGUGUAUUUAAGAUACCCUCAAACUCUUUUCAUUGCCAUCAAUGAGUUUUGUUGGGAUUACUCAUGUACCGACUUAAUUUACUAAUUGCACAUGCUAUGUUCGGUUGUGUACAAUUCAUUAUAUACAUUAAACAUUCCAAAACUCUUGUGUACUCUAAUUAUGAGUCACUUUCGCCUUCAUUCUUUUGAAGUGCAAAGCUCACAUCCAAUGGAGUCUUGGCAAUUCCAAAUUCCAAAUUCCAAAUACUUGAAUUUAUCAAGUACCUUUUUGAUGUAAUGAGACUGUGACAAUGUCAACCCUUGUGGAGUUCUAUGGAUUCUUAUUUCUAAGAUCGUAUCCGCAACUCCAAGGUCUUUCAUAUCAAACUUGCUCUCGAGCAUUCAUUUUAUAGCAUUUAUGAUAGAAAUAUCUCGACUGAGGAUUAACACAUCAUGCACAUAUAAAAAAAUAAUGACUUGGUGAUUUAGAGUGUCUUUAAUGUAUACACAUUUAUCACAUUCAUUUAUCUUGAAUCCGUUUGCCAACAUGGUUUGGUCAAAUUUUGCAUGCCAUUGUUUAGGUGCUUGUUUUAGUUCAUAAUGACUUAACAAGUUUACACACCUUAUUUUCCUUUCCUGGAACCACAAAACACUCGGGUUGUUCCAUAUAGAUUUCUUCCUCCAAUUAUCCAUUCAGGAAUGUUGUUUCCACAUUCAUUUGAUGGAUUUCAAGACCAUAUACCGCCGCCAAGACAAUUAACAUCCGAAUUGACUCUAUCCUUGUUACUAAAGAGUAUGUAUCAAAGUAAUCAUGGCCUUCUUUUUGUUUGAAGUCUUUUACUACAAGUCUUACCUUGUAUUUUUCAAUAGUACCAUCCAUUUUUUUUGAAGAUUUAUUUUGAACCUAAAGGUUUAUUUUCUGUAGGAAGAUCAACCAACUCCCACGUAUGGUUGCUUAACAUUGAAUCAAUCUCACUAUUGACUGCUUCUUUCCAAAAGAAUGAGUCUGACGACAACAUCGCUUUUUUAAAUGUUUGAGGCUCAUUUUCGAAGAGAAAUAUUACAAAAUUCGAUCCAAACGAAGUUAACGUUCUUUGACAUGUACUACGUCUUGGAUUAUCAUCAUUAUGUAUAUCUUCAGUUGGUUCAUCUCGAGGUCAUUUAGACCCCCACUAGAUUGUUCAUGUCUAGUUUUAUAUAGAUAUAUGUGUGCAAAGAAUUCAGCAUUAUCUGAUUCAAUUAUCGUAUUUUUAUUGAUAUCUAAAUGUUUGGAUUUAUGAACCAAAAUCCGACAUGCUUUGCUACUUUUAGCAUAUCCUAUGAACGUGCAAUCCACCGUCUUAGGUCCUAUCUUUACUCUUUUAGACAUAGGAACUUGGACCUUCGCUACACACCCCACACUUUGAAAUAUUUCAAGUUGGGUUUUCUUCCUUUAUAUUUUUCAUAUGGAAUUGAUUGUGUCUUACUAUGGGGCACUCUAAUAUUUGGUUAGCUGUAAGGAUAGCCUUUCCCCAUAAGUUUUGCGGUAAACCUGAACUUAGUAGCAGGGUAUUCAUCAUUUCCUUUAAGGUUUGAUUUUGGUUCAGUUUUUCUUUUUUGUAAUUCCAUUAGAUUGAGGUGAAUACGGGGUUGUAGUUUGAUGGAAAAUUUCAUUCUCUACACCUAUUUCCGCAAAGGGAGAUCCAUAUUCUCCACCCCUAUCACUUCUUAUCGUUUUGACCUUUUUCUCUAACUGUUUUUCAACUUCUGUUUUAUAUUGCCUAAAUGUAUCUAUUGUUUCAUCCUUACUGUUUAGCAAAUAAACAUAACAAUAUCUAGUACAAUCAUCAAUAAAAGUUAUAAAAUACUUUUUUUCACUACGAGAUGAUGUUGACUUCAUAUCACAAAUGUAAGUGUGUAUUAAGUAUAAGAGAUUUGAAUUCCUUUCAAUACACUUAUACGGAUGCUUAGCAUACUUUGAUUCCACAUACGUUUGAUAUUUUGACUUAUUGCACUCAAAGUUUGGCAAAACUUCUAAGUUGAUUAGUAUUUGUAAAGUUUUGUAACUGACAUGUCCUAAUCGUUCAUGCCAUAAAUUAUUAGACUCAAGCAAGUAAGAAGAAAUUAAACUUUUAUUAAUUUCAAUAUUCAUUACAUUUAUUUUGAAUAGGCCCUCAGUGAGGUAGCAUUUUCCUACGUACACUUCUCCUUUACCAAGUACAAUUUUUUUAGAAAUAAAUACACAUUUAAAUCUAUUUUUGUCAAGAAGUGAUACAGAAAUUAAGUUCUUCCAUAAUUCCGGUACAUACAGGACAUUAUUCAAAGUCAACACUUUGCCUGAUAUCAUUUUCAGGCAGACUUUUUCUGUUCCUUCAGCUUUUGCAGUUGUAGAGUUUUCCAUAUGUAUCUUCUUUUUGCCUUGAGCCGGAGCAAAAACAACAAACAACUCAUUAUUUGCACAAACAUGGCUGGUGGCACCGGAAUCCAUCCACCAUUCUCGAGGAUUUUCCACAAAAUUGUAUUUAGACAGCAUGGCACACAGAUAAUCUAUUUCUUUCUUGGAUUCAGCCAUAUUUCCUUGGUCCUUCCUUUUGCCUUUCUUUGGGGAACGAUAAUCCAUUGACUUGUGGUCAAUCUUGCCACAGUUAAAGCAUUUUCCUUGAAUUUCUUCUUAAGUUGAUUGCUUUCAUGUCCAGAUUUCUUUCACUUUUUGGAGUUGUUGUGGUCGGCUUCUACAAUAUUUUCUCUACUUAUUGCAGAAUUUCCUUUCGAUCUUCUUUCCGAGGCUUUGUUGUCUUUAUCAAUGCGCAGUCUUACUAUAAGAUCUUCGACUGUCAUCUCUUUUCACUUAUGUUUCAAGUAGUUCUUGAAGUCCUUCCACAUAGGUGGUAACUUCUCUAUUAUUGUCACGACUUGAAAUGCCUCAUUUACAAUCAUACCUACAGUUAAGUUCAUGUGAACAUUUAGAACAUUUUUAAUAUGUUCAACAACGAUACUCAUCAAACUCAUACCUUCUCCGAGGAGAUUGUGGAUGAUAACUUGCAGUUUCUGGACCUGAGAUACAACAGACUUGCUGUCAAUCAUUUUAAACUCAAGGAAUCUUGCAAUGAAGAAAUUUUUGGUUCCAGCAUCCUCAGUCUUGUAUUUUUUUCUAUCGCCCCCACAACUCUUUUGUCGUCUUCAUUCCACUAUACGCAUUGUAUAGUUCAUCUUGGAGGCCAUUUAGAAUAUAAUUCCUGCAUAGGAAAUCAGGGUGUUUCUACGCCUUCAUAACGAUAAAUUUCUCCUGUUCCGAAGUUUCCUCAGGCACCUCUGGAGAUUCUUCAGAUGUGAAUCUUUGAAGACAUAAAGUUGUAAGUUAGAAGCACAUCUUCUGUUGCCACCUCUUAAAAUCAAUACCCGCGAACUUUUUGGGUUUCUCCGCUGGUGCCAUUGCUUAUGGAGCACUCGUACGACUCAUUGUGGCAACAUUAGUUGCUGCCACAGUCAUUGCAAUAUCAUUCACUUGACUGUCAGUAGUCAUCUUCCUGUCACAACAAGACAGUAAAUUUUAGUAUGUCAAAAUACUACUUAUAAAGUUGCAGCAACUUUAAACACCCUUUGUUUCUAGUUUAACGAUGAAGUUUUUAUGACUUCCAAUCGUCAACCAAAUGACCUCUAACUUGUGAUGAAUAUUUUAUUUAUUCAAAUCACUUGUUACAUUCAAACGGAGUAGAAAUAUUAAAGCUUUAAUCUCCAGAAAGUAAACAAUACAGAUUAUGACAAAAAAAAAUUUAAUGAAAAGAAAACUUCACCAAACAAGCAAAAAAAUAUAUAUUUUUUUAAUUAUUUUCUUAAGAUUAUUGUUUUCAGGUACACAAAAAUCUGUAUUUUGACAAAACAACUUCAACACAAGUUCAAGAAUAAAUCAAGAACACUUAUGAAGUUUCCAACACCUUCAACACAAGAUCCAAAAAUAACCUUUUAAAGAAGUGUGUUUUCAAUAUUUUAAAGAAAUUUAGAUAAAGCAGAAAAAAACCAAGCCCUACGAAUUCACGGAGUGUCCUUAGAGAAAUAAUUCCCCUUAGGUACCCGAGGUUGCGGAAUUUUUCUCCCACGAUAAAAUGUCUUAACAAUUCGACUGUAGUGGUACCUCAAACGAUCGGAUUCUCUUCAAAAUCACUCAAUAGUUAGAUGAUCAUACGGAGUAUUUUAGAAGACAAGAAAUGUUUUCAAGUGCAAAAAAUUCAUUCUAAACCUGUGGAAAAAUACAGAUUUAUAUAGCCAUUAAAUGCCCCUUCCGAAAAGUGGAAAUGGUUCAUCGAAAAGUUGUAUCCUUUCUGUACAGUCAUGUCUAUCCAUUCGAUAGAGUGUGUCUUUUCCGAACAGCCACAACCAUCCAAACGGUCAUACAUUUUUUCGAAAUAGUGUGUCUUUUACUCGAAGAGAUGUGUCUCUUCCAAGCAACUUUUCAUUUUUCAUUCACACCAAUUGAACCCAAGAAUUUUUUUCACUGUAUCCUUGAUGUGACUUUGUGAGAUAAUAGUGGAUAUGUGCUAUUGUUGUUUAUUAUUUUGCCAUGUUUCCUCUAGCCUCCUCUGGGUUUACGGCAUACUACAAAAGAUCUGUGAAAAUGGCUAAAUGAACAACUUUAAUUGUAAAUUAUUUUCAGAUGGGUGUACCAAACAAGACACCUUAAUCAGUUUCUUGAGAUGAAUCCAAUUGGGGAGGUAUGUUAUUCUACUGAACAUAUAGAUUCUUGGGCAAGAUUUUGCUAAUCUUGGUGUGUGUUUGGUCCUAUGCGUUCAAGUUCUUGAAACACUUUAUGGAUUUGUUUAACUUUGUCUUAACUGCAAUAAUUUUUUAAGCUUAACAAAUUCAUUGCUUUGCCACUGUUAUUAUGUCAUAAGCUCGAUAUGGUCUAUAAGUUGCUAGCCGUAGUACUAAUGUCAAAGUAAUUAGAGAAAAUGAUUUAAUAUUACUUAUAGUACUUUUGUUUAGUUUCUAAUAUGUAAAUUAUUCUUCAAAAAUCUUAAAACACUUUAUGUAGUUUCUACUUAAAUUAUGCAAGCUCGUGUGGAUUCUAUGCACCAAAAAGAUAAGCUUUGGUGCGUUGAGUGCAUAUGUGCUGCAUAAAACAAGGUACUAUUGGGGAAGUAGGAUACAAACGAGCUGUGUGGAUGGUCUUACAAAAAGUACCUAAAGAGUAUUGACUAGACAGAGCACAACUCAUGAGGCAAAGGGAAUUUUCUAUUAAGAAAUUGUAUACGUUGAUGGGAAGAGAUUAUCCCAAAGCAGGGGUGGCUCUACUUCAUUAAGAAAAGGAAAAAAGCGACCGCCUUAGGCCCCCAAAUUUGAGGGGCCUCAUUUUUUAACACUAAUAAAUUAUAUACUUUUUUGAGAAAAAUAUUAAAUAUCAUUUGGAGGAAAAAUAAACUUUUUUAUAUAAAAGGAAUGAAUUAUUAGGAAAGUUUGAUAUAUCUAAAGUACUAGGUUAAGAAAGACUAAUGCAUUGAUUAUAUGAUUAAGUAUCAUAUAACUUUAAAAAUAUAAUUUAUUUAAAAAAUAUUUUUUUCUAAAAAACUUUAAGGCCUCCAUUUAUUUCGAACUUAAGCCACUAAUAAGUUUGAGGCGCCCCUGUCCCAAAGUAACAUGGCGAAGGGUAGCGUGCAACAAUCAAGGAUGUCCCAAGUGGACAUUUAUCCUACAACUUGUGCUAAUGGAGAGUCUUCUCACUAGAGAUAGACAAUAAGGUGCCAUUACAUUUGCUACAUGUCCUUUUUGUGAUCAACAUGAAGAAAGCCGAGGAUAUUUUUUCUUUGAAUGUGUCUACUCACAAGGAAUUUGGGAACAAAAUGCUAUAAUGGCAAGGACUUCAACGGGUCGCUCAGACUUGGCAAGAGGAUAAAAGUGGAUUGUGAUAUACUAAUGGUAGAUUGUACAAGCUGCAAGCUAUCAUCUAUUCUUAGCAGGGAGCCAGGGACAAUCUAUCAUGUUUGGUUAGAAAGAAAUGCAAGUGUUUCGACAAUUUCAAAGGGAGGAACAAGCCAUGGUGAGGCAUAUUAUCCAAGAGGUGGUCAUAUGUGGGUCUAAGAUGAGAAAGAAAGCUAUGAAACUAGAGACCAUAAAUUUCUAUCCUUAUUAACGUAAUUGUAUAGAUAGGAAGUGGUUGAUGGCCUAAGACAAAUUGUAGGCUAGAUGCUCAAUCUGUAGAUUAUUUUGUUUUAUAUAAGCUUACUUGGUAAGUAAUAAUACACGUUAGUUGUAAAAAAAUAAUAAUUUAAACAUUGUAUUCGAUCAAAAUAUAAGAAGUUUGACUCUUAAAAUUGAAAUUGUGCGUAUAAAUUGGGACGGAAGAGUAUCAUAUACUAACGGAAUACUAAUGAUACUAUGCUCAAUGCAUAACAUUUAAACUUCAUAAUAAUAGUUGCAUUAUGCUCUGUUUUCUCACAUUUUAGAUGAUUUACGAAUUGUUUGAUGUUUACUUUUUAUUACUAUUAAGUAUUAACAUGUAUAUUUAAUAGUGUAGUAAUGUCUGUUAUACUUAAUAAUAUCACGUAUAAAUAAUUUAUUUUUUCAUAUAUAUUAAUAUUACUUAACGUGAUACUCACAUGCAAAAUACGUACCCUGAAUUAGUUCAAAUAAUAACAUACUAUAAACAUCAGCAUUUGCAUAGUCUAUGCAUUGAUUUUUGUUAUGUAUUUAUCCUCCUAAUUUUUCCAGUUUAGCUUUUUUAUUACUCUUUUAUCAUAUUUCUUUUUGUUAGUCCAUCUCUCUCAAAUCUCAGUAAUCCUGUACAAUUAUUUCCUCAAAUAUAGUUUUUGUUCUUCUACGGGAGGCUUUCAGAAAAAAUCAUACCUUAGCACAAAAUUCAGCGCCUAUACCCAUAAUUUGCAAUAUUACAAUCCAGAGUUGUAUUAAAUCCAUAAUCGUUAUAUUCCAUUAUACUCAAUCGUUUGUAUUUAUAUAAAACUUAAAUAUAUUAACUACAUUUUAUAUUUUAUACUUUUUUGUAUUUUUCAAAAAAUAUGAUUACAUUGAAUACAUGUCAUGGAUAAUGACGGAAACAUCAUAACUACGUAUUGUAAAUGUAUUCACCGUCAUUUUUGUUUUCUUUUUUUUUUUCUUUUUUCUAUUUUUUUUAUGAUUCGUUUUUUUCUCUUCGAUCUCUAACUUUUAUUUCUCUUUCUUUCUCUUUUUUCCUUUUCCAUUUUUUUCUUUUCAUUUUUUGUAUUUUUUUCCUUUUUCGUGUUCCCCUUUCUUCUUCUUCUUCUAAUUCUUUUUUCCUUUUUUUACCUUUUUAUUUCUUUCUUUUUUUUUUGUUGUUUGCUUUUUUCUCUCUCUUCUAUCUCUAGCUUCUAUUUCUCUUUCUUAUUUUUUGAUUUUUUUCUUUUUCUUUUUUUUUUUGUAUUUUUUCUUUCUCAUGUUUUUUGUUCUAUUUUAUAUUUUUUGUGUUUAAAAAAAUAUGGCUACUCGAGCAUAAGUUAUGGGUGAUAACGAAAUAACACAAUUGCUUAUUGCAUUUGUAUUCACAUCGUCAUUUAUAUUUUUAUAUUCAUUUAUAUAACUGUAUUUAUAUUUAUAUUUUAAUGUUUAUACUUGUAUUUGUAUUUUAUUGUUCUCAUUUGUCACACCCCUUAUCAAACCAAAAAGAUAAUAUUUUGAGUUUAAAAGAAUUCUUAUUAUUAAAGUGACAAAAUGAAGAUUUGUUUCGAAAAGGAUUCAUUUCACAAUUAUAUUCAGAGUCGCCACUUGACAUACAUCGUGUGUGUCAAGUCACCUUUGGAAAAUUCUUUUUCAAAAUGAUUUGACUCUUUAAAACUGGUUUGCAAACAGAAAUUCCAGUUAAGAAGUUCUGUUGACCGAGGGGAAGGUGUUAGGCACCCCUCGAUCCUGUAGUUUGACCACGGUCGCUUGAUGGAGUAUAUCGGCUAAUUUGACAUUAUGAAUGUAUAAACCACACAAAAACACUCAAAACAAUCAAUCAAACACACAAACAAAACAAAUCCAAAAAUAGUGUCCAAUCUAAUUAUUACAACUCAAAAUAAAAAGAUACUGAAAAGUAAACCUACACUAAUCCUAAACGUCGCUCCACCCGAUGCCUCGGGCCUUGAUCACGAACUGCCUUCAAAAACAUAAUACGUCGGGGCAUUCCCCGUUAAAUAAAUAUAAUUUUCUUCGGGGCAUUCCCCGGCCAAAUAAAUACAAUUUCCUUCGGGGUAUUCCCUGGCCAAAUGAGUACAAUUGAUCCAAAUUCAUAAAAUAAAAUCAUUCAAAAAACAUUUUCAACAUUGAACAAUCCACAAGUUCUAAAUUUUCCUACCCGAACCUACUAUUUGCCUACCCGACUCGACCUAUCAUGAUUCUAUCACAUUCAAUAUCAUCAAUGAAUCAAAAUUUAUUCAAAUUUACUCUUAUCGAGACCAAUCCCUUCCUACAUUCAUUAUCAAAAUAAUUAAUCAAUUCUUCGACUACCAAUCCAAGUUUUCAUAUUCAAAUCCGACAUCAACCCACACAAGAAAAAGAUUCAAACAUGUCAAACAACAAAUCAUUCACAUUCACGUAAAAAUUAAAGGGAGAGAAGAUAGAAUUGGACCUCAAUGCCGCUUUCAAAAUUGAUGUAUAAUCUGUAUCCAAAAUAGAAUUUGUGUGUGAGUGUGUUGUGAAUAUUGUGGUGAAAAUAGAGAUUUGUGUGUUUUCUGUGUCCUGUGUAGAAGAAAAAUGAGGUUCUCUGUAGUAUGAAGGUGGUUCUGUGUAGUUGUGUGCAUAUGGUUUUUAUGAGUGAGAGUGCAAUUAUCUGGUGAGGUGCAUGUUGUGCCCUUCUCUGUAUAUCUAUGUAAUCCGUUACAAUGGAAAGGGGCAAAAUGUGAUAAAGGGGGUAGCAUAUGGUGGAGGUAUGGGGUAGGGGUAAGUGAGGUAGGGGUAGGUGUUAAAAUUUGAUAGGGAUGGGUUGUUAGUUUGUUUAAUUGGGAUUAUAUGGGAAUUUAGGGAUAAAAUUUGUUUAGAGUUGGUUAUUAUUUGUUUCCUUGUAGGGNNNNNNNNNNNNNNNNNNAGUGUAGAGUGGGUGAAGGUACGUGGUAAGGUGAGCUAAAAAGAAAUAAAAUUGAACUUCGGGAGGGACAAAAUUAGGUGUCUACAUCAUGCCCCUUUUUAGGUAUAAACACAAAGUAUUUUCAGACAAAAAAGUAGACAACGAGACCAAAUUUUGACCCGACCAUUAUUCGAAGAAAGAAAUAGAAAGAAAUAGGACAACUGAGUUGGAGGUUCGAGUGAGGUCCUAUCAAGGUUCCGGACCGCGACUCUGUCAUUACAUCAAAAAUGAAAAUUACAAGUUAAAAACAUAAAUAAAAUUACAAAAAUCCUAUCUAUGAGGCUUUUUUUAGACUCUUGAUUUGAGUUUCAUCAACCCAUUCUUUAGGCGGGCUCCUGACUUGCAAUUUCUUCAACUUGUUGCUUGGCUUUCAAUUUCUUCACCCUGUUCUCCAAGCGGGCUCCUGACUUACUAUUUUUUAAUCUGUUGACUUUUAAUUUCUUCAACUUGUUGUUUGACUUUCAAUUUCAUCACUCUGUUUUCCAGGAGAGCUUCUUACUUGCAAUUUCCUCACUCUUUUCUCCGGGCGAGCUUCCGACUUUCUAUUUCAUCACCCUAUUCUUCGGGUGGGCUCCCGACUUGCAAUUAUUUUACUCUGUUCUCUGGGUGAGCUCCUAAUUUUCAAUUUCAUCACCCUAUUCUUUGGGUAGGCUUCCGAGUUGUAAUUUCAUCACCCUAUUCUUCAGGUAAGAUCCUGAAAUCAAAAUCAAAAGUAUAACAAAAGUUAUCCCAAACAAAUGUUAUUAUAAAGAGAGAUUCCAUUUUCCAGAAAGUAAAGUUCCAAAAAAAGUAAUUGAAUAUUUGGCCCAGUUAACAUCAGAGAACUUUUGUGACAGUCACAUCAUAACUACUUGAAAAACCCGAACAAAGAAAUGCAUCUUCUAUGAGUUAAUUGGAAUGAUUCAACUAGAAAGUGCAUUUUCUAGGAGUCAAAGGGAAUGACUUGACUAGAAAAUACAUUUUUUAGGAAUCAAGGAAAAUGACUAGACUAAAGGGUACAUCUUAUAUGAAUCAAGGGAAUGACUCGACUAAAAGGUACAUCUUAUUGGAAUUAAGGGAAAUGACUCGACUAAAGGGUACAUCUCAUAGGAAUCAAGGGGAAUGACUGGACUAAAAGGUAUGUCUUAUAGGAAUCAAGGGAAAUGACUUGACUAAAGGGUACGUCUUAUGGGAAUCAAGGGGAAUGACUCUACUAAAAGGUACGUCUUAUAGGAAUCAUGGAGAAUGACUCUAAUGAAAGAUACGUCUUAUAGAAAUCAAGGGAACUGACUUGAUUAAAAGGUACGUCUUAUAAGAAUCAAGGGGAAUGACUCGACUAAAAGGUACAUCUUAUAGGAAUCAAGGGAAUGACUCGACUAAAAGAUACAUCUUAUAGGAAUCAAGGGGAAUGACUCGACUAAAUUGUACGUCUUAUAGGAAUCAAGGGAAAUAACUCGACUAAAAGGUACGUCUCAUAGGAAUCAAGGGAAAUGACUCGACUAAAAGGUACAUCUUAUAGGAAUAAAGGGGAAUAACUCGACUAAAAAGUACAUCUUAUAGGAAUCAAGGGAAAUAAUCUGACUAAAAGAUAUGCCUUAUAGGAAUCAAGGAUAAUGACUCGACUAAAGGGUACGUCUUAUAGGAAUCAAGGGGAAUGACUCAACUAAAGGGUAUGUCUUAUAGGAAUCAAGGGGAAUGACUCGACUAAAGGGUAUGUCUUAUAGGAAUCAAGGGGAAUGACUCGACUAAAGGGUUGUCUUAUAGGAAUCAAGGGGAAUGACUCGACUAAAGGGUAUGUCUUAUAGGAAUCAAACGGAAUGACUCGACUAAAAGGUACGUCUUAUAGGAAUCAAGGGGAAUAACUCGACUAAAAGGUACGUCUUAUAGGAAUCAAGAGGAAUGACUCAACUAAAAGUACAUCUUAUAGGAAUCAAGGGAAAUAAUUCGACUAAAAGAUAUUUCUUAUAGGAAUCAAGGGGAAUGACUCAACUAAAAGAUAUGUCUUCUAGGAGUGAAGGUUCAGUUUAAGAAGUGUAUCACCUAGCAAUUAAAAACUGAAAUGCCUAGACAAAGAAGUGUAUCUCCGAGGGAUAUAGGAUGAUGAAUUUUACCAUGAUUUGAUUAUCAAAUCUUUACAGCAACGUUGCUUCCUGCAUUAUACAUAUGAGGCAUUGCAACCCUUAAUAUUUAUGCUCUGAAGUUCUUGAUUUGAAAGUAACGUAUUUUCUAUUUCAUCAAAGAAAACUUGUGAGUUUAAAAACAUAGAGGAUGGUUUAUGGCUUUAGAUUUCACAACAAAUGCUCUUGCCCUUAUCACAUUUAACCUUGAUUCCAACCAUUAGUAUAUAUCAUUGAUAUAAUACCCCGUACUUUUUCCUAGCUAAUUUCAUCUCAAGAAUGUCUAGUAUUAGCUUCUAAAUUAAAUGAUGGUUAUUCCAUGAAGAAAUUUUCAAGAUUUUUCCUUUUUGUCAUGUGGAAAAUUCAAUAAACUUUCCAUCGAUAUGAGAUUCAUCCAAAUUCGAUAAUUGAGUGAGAAAUUACGACUAUUUCAAGCACCCAUCGUAAAAAAGCGCCAUAUUAGUUAGUGGCGCACUACGCCACAAAAGGAAAUGGAAUUUAGAAAAUUCCAGUAGGGGUCCGCGAUUAUGGAGCGUCACGCCAGGGCCCAAAUUUAGAAUUGUCCGUUUCCCAGUGUCUCAGCGCGAUUUCCCCUGCGUCACGCCAAAGUUCCAGGUCACAAAGGAAAUGACAACGUGAUGGCCCUGCAUCGCGCUAUCCCUCAAUUUCUCAAUUUUCAAAUUCCAGUGACACGGUAUGAUAGGGGUCCAAUUUGGGAAAUUUUUACUGAAAUUAAAUAACGCAUCGAGGGUUAAAAGGGUCAAUUUUCCACCCCUAUUUAAGCCCUUUAACACGUGAUUCAGCUGCAUUUCACCCAAAAUAUACUAGUUUUUCUCAAGUUUCUCUCAAGAACAAGCUAGGGUUUUUAUAGAAUAUCCAAUUUCAAGAAAGUUUCACCGGCAAUCUUCAUGAAAUCACGAACUAAGGUAUGUAUAGUGUUUAUUCAUGGACUCCUUUCGUCCAUGAAGUCUAACAAUCACUUUUCCAACUUCAAGUUAUGGAUUUUCUUUAUGAUUUCAUGAUUGGGUUGUUCUUGUUCAAAUUGAUAAAUGAGAAAUUGAACUCUACUCCAUGUUGGGUGAUAAUUUCUAUAUGAGUUUAAUUAUUAUAGAUAUAGAUUCAUGCAAACCUAUGACUAAACCCUUGAAUGGUGAAAUUAGAAUGUGACCAUGAUGUUAAAUUAUUGUACAAUGAUGUUUACAUAUACCAUGCCUACAAUAUGUUUGAUUUAAUGCCUAAAUGAAGGGAAAGUGCCUAACUAGCAUAUUGUCAUGAAAUCCCUAUGUUUGUACAAGCUUAUGCCUAUCACAUGUUUGAUGAAAUGCUUCAGUAAAUGCAUUAUGGUGAUUAUUAUGUAUUCAAGCAAGUCAUGCUUUGUCAGUUUCCUUCUAUCGAUUCCUAGGGGUACUUGUACCCGAAACAUUAGCUGUGUGCCUAGAGUCAUGUCAUGUUUUCAUGAUAAUCUCAGUCAAGCUAUGAUCUAGACUUCAGACAGUCUUAUCACUCAGGAAAUCUCCAUGAUCUUAUGAACUCAGUCAGUUGUCAGAUAUCAGUAGUAUUUUAUCAAUCAAUGGAACUCAGUAACUCAGUCCAUAUUCAGUUUAGUAAAUCAUGUUCAGUGUCUAUUUAGAUGGGAGUAGAUAUUAGCACCGAGCGAACCCAAAGAUGGGAACUCACCUAUUAUAUGAGGGUGUGAUUCUUAGAAGUAAUUCUUACAUUCCAGAUCUAUAUAGCCAACAUAGGUUGAGACAUCAUAGCCUGCUAUAUGAGGGUAGAUGAGGUGGCUUAGCCUUUUAUAUGAAGGUUCCCAAUAUUCUCACUAGAGUUACCUGUUAUAUUAGGGUCACUCACAUGUUGUCCUUACCAGUGGCGCGGUAUUGACAUACUUCCAAUCAAGGCAUAGAUUGGAUCUCAAUUCAACUAUAAUGCAUUAUUUGGGGCAUGUCGGUUAGAUGACUACCUUCCAUAGUCUCAGUAUCAGUCUCAGUAAAAGAACUCAGAUAAUUCUUCAGAAUUUAGGACUAUCGAUACAGUCAACUCAGAUACAGUACGAAAUUCAUAUAGUUCCAUCAGAUUCAGGACUGUCAGAUAUAGUCACUCAUGUUAUCAGUUAUAUUCAGAUUCAGUAAUCAUGUUAUCAUAGUAUUAGUGUCAAUUGUCAUGUCUCAUGCAUGUAUUUUCACACUCAUGAUAGUUAGUCAGUUAUUAUUAUUAUUCAUGCAUAUGAACCCCAUGCAUUCAGCCUACCUCACAUGUAUACCAGUAUAUUCAAAGUACUGAUAUAUUUGCGCUAUGGUGUCUUAUACCAUAGGUUCAGAGACACGAGCUCCAGAGCAGCAAUAGAUUCUAAAUAUCUGCAGACAGAGUUAGAAGUGAGUCCUCAUCUUUCGAUAACAUGAUUAUUUACCUAUUAUCUCAUUAAUCAAUUUAUUAGUUAGAGUUAGUUGGGGACAUGUCCCAUCAACUCUUUACUCAAACAGUUCAGUCAGUUAGAGGUUUUCUAGACUAUCAUGUUUCAUACUUCAGUAUGUUCAAUUUUAUUUUGGGUUUUCUAUUACCCUACACAGAUGUUAUAUCAUUCAAAUCAUAUUCAGUAUUGAACCUUAUGAUCUUUCAAUUAAUGUUUCUGCAUUAUAAAGUAUUUUAUACAGUAUGCAGGUACAGAUAUCAGUCAUGGGUUAGCUUGUGGUCCAUCGGGGUCAUGACCACUGUGUAGCAUUCCGAGUAUCAGAUUUUAGGCCAUACCAACUUGGUAUCAGAGUCUAAGGUUCAAUAGAGUGCUAGACAGCCUGAAAGCCACAUCUAGUAGAAUCUUGUGCAUGGGUGUGUUGCGCGCCACAUUUAUGUACAAGAGGCAAUAAAAUGUUUUAGGAAUAGUUUCCCUUCUUUCGGUAUUCAUGUCAUGCCAGUGAGCAUAAUCUCAAUUCAAUCUCUCAGUCUAAUUUGUUUUCCCCUUUCUUCUACAGAACAUGCCUCUUAAAAGAAAAAACGAAAACCAGUCAGCCCCUCAGCCCAAAGAUCCUUUGGGCGAUCAUAUUUCUCAUAUGGAGUUUAGGGCCGCAUUCACUACUCUUGCUAACUCAGUUGCUACUCAGAAUGAAUGACCAGUAAUCAUUUUGGCCAACCCAAUGGCCAAUUCAGCCGAAGCCAGGAUUUGGGAUUUUACCCGAAUGAAUCCUCCAUCCUUUCUUGGGUCUAAGACAGAUAAAGACCCUCAAGAAUUCCUAGAUUAGGUACAGAAGGUGACAGACAUAAUAAGGGUUACAUCUAGUGAGAGUGCUAAGCUAGCUACAUAUCAGUAGUAGAAUAUUGCUCACACUUGGUUCAAGCAGUGGAAGUCAAAGAGGGCAGAUGAUGCAGGGCCAGUUGAGCGGGAGGAGUUUGCUUCAGUGUUCCUUGAUAGAUUUUUUCCCUUAGAGAAUAGAGAAGCUAAGGUACUAGAAUUCAUCAACCUCAGGCAGGGAAAUAUGAUAGUGAAAGAUUAUUCUCUUAAGUUUACUUAAUUAUCCAGAUAUGCCCCUCAUGGGGUUGUUGAUAGCAGGGCAAAGAUGAGCAAGUUCGUUUCAGGGGUGAAUGAUAGCAUGGUUAAUUAGUGUAGCUCCAUUAUGCUAAAUAGUGACAUAACUUUAU